rnacentral:lncRNA from 1 species
UGGAGCGGAUGAGAUACUCGAUCUGCUUCAGGAGGGACUCCACGGUGAGAGGUGGCAGGUAGGAAAGGGUCUCGAACUUCUUGAUGCCCUCAAUUGGCCACACCUGCAAUUAGAUUAAAAUUAGCACACAAAGUGUGAUUUGAGACACAUAUCGAUGGAGUAUUUCACUUCACACAUAUCGGUAUGAUGAUAUACAUACCUGCAUGCUCGUGAUCCUGCCACCGUUGGAGACGCUGCCGAGGCCAGCGCCGGCAGAGCGGCGGCUGACGGGGAGCCCGGCGGUGGACUUGAGGCCCCGGAAAGGAGCAACAGCGGUAGCCGCCGCCGACAUCACUGUCGGACCCAUAGCAUCCACCCUUGUAUCACUAGAGUAUAUCUACUUAGCUAAUAUGCUAAGUUUGGCACGGAGAGAGGAGGUCGAGUGGACUUCAUUCCUGGUCACAAGGGUUUAUAUAUACCAUAUAACAUACGAGCAAUUUGUGAUUAAUUUGUUGUCGUUCUAGGAGAUGUGGAAAGGGUGGAUGCCGUUCGUUGGUUGCCUUAUCCGUUCUAGAGAAGGGAUGGAUGACCGACGCUCGCUCAGCCGUCUCCUUCGUCCAUCGUUGCCAAUCUUUCUAGCUAUAAUUGGAAGUUCCAAAGGAACAUACGGUUUCAUGCCUACUUCCAUCGGCCUAUCAUGUACCAAUCCAAUAAAAGGACAUCGUUCAACCAUCAAUCCAUGUGUGUGUAGUAAGUGAUUGGCUACGAACCUUCAGCUGACUUGCUUUAUUGGAUAUUUCUGUAAAGCGAGUCCACGGUGUGUGGGUUUAAAAUCUCGUGGCGGCAACUGUUGACGGGUGCAAAUAUCAGUAGCCUUAAAACAAUAAACUUUACUCCGUCCCUUCCGAAAUGCAAGAAUGUCCUAAGUCAAACUUCUUAUGCUGCAGGACCAUAGUUUUUGAGGUGUUCUUCUCACGAGUCCACGAAGAACGGGAAUUUUUUGGUGUCGGGUAAGGGCGGGGGAAUAUAUAGAUGCUAGCAUCAGCAUGACGGGCUAACGGGUCAGGUAGGAUUUUGGACGACGUAGCACCUGACAUGUGGGGGCCACAUGUAAGAAAACCUGUCAAAAUGUCAUAACCCUCUGUUUUGGUCAACUUGAUACAAUCUGAUACAAAACGUGUGGUUUUCCUGACAAAUUAGCAAAUUUUGUGUCUCUGUGAGAAGCACGCCCCAAAAACUGUGGUUCCGUGAAAUUUAUUCACUAGUUACACUUUAUCUACAAACAUCUACGAUUCUAAAAUAGUUUGGUAUAUAUUUUCCGUAAUAUAAUUAUUUGAUAUUCUAAAUUCGGGGAUUUGUUCUUAUAAACUUGGUCGAAGUUUAAAAAGUUUGACUUCGGACAAAGUUACGACUUUUUACAUUUAGGAAUGAAGGGAAUACAUUUUAGUAAAGCAAUUGAGGAAUUGACAGAAUUAAAUAUCUUAAAUUAUACUGGUCCAUCGUGUACUCAUGGCAACAAAAUAAAUUUAUAGUCGAAAAGUUGGACCAUGAAAACUUAAAACGUGAUACAUUAAAAUUGUUGAAUCACUCUACAUCUUGUAAUUUUCUCUUGCAACCUUCUGGCGCGCUACUCAUUCCACAUUUGGUACUAUAUGUAUAAAUGUAUAUAUAUACCGCAUUAGGAGCCUCUAUUACUGUUUUAGUAUAAAUAGCAGUUUCCAUCGACUAUGCACUUCAUUAACUUUUUCUUCACGAGAUAACUUGCUUAUCGAUUUUCUUUAAUUAUCCAGAUGGCUUCUACUAGUUUGUUUCCUUGCUUACUGGGAUUUCCGCAGACUUUACGGUUAGGUAUUAUUGUCGUGUGGACAACACGGUGGCCGGAUGUUGAGAUGAUGAUGUCCUUUAUCUCCGUGUUGCUUCUGAGGACUGCGGAUCCGAGGCUAGUGGCGGUAUGGGAUGCCUCUCUACCUCUUGAUCAGGUCAAUCCGGCUCAGCAAGAGGCGGAUCGAUGGUGGCCGGUGUGACUAGAAGCGGGGAGGUAUAUAUGAAACGUUUCUUGCUUCCAGCAUCUCUUCUAGCGGUAUAUAUGUCGUCAGCUGGUUGAGGGAUUGAUGGCAAUCGAUCAUGGCUACGAUGACAUGUAUACGCGCCGGUAGGAACACAUAUCAGGCAAUGUCGAUGCACCUGCAUUGGGCCCUUGCUGAAGGUGGUGGUGCGUAUGGCAGUCUAAAGAUUUAAGACACAAAUUUAGACUUAAAACUUAAAUAAUCAAUUUGUGCCAGCGGGAAACACACAAACACGUACCGGUAAAUUAUCAUAAUCAGAAUUUGUCGACGAAUUUGAUAUUCUUUUACAAAAUAUACUUAUCUUAAUAUGUAUAACCGGAGUUUAUAUUACAUGCCCCUCUCCCAACGAUAGUUGUAGUACUCUUAUAAUAGUAGUACUCAUGAAUACAGUUAAUCCGGGUUGUUGGGAGAGAUCACAUGCAUAAAUACAACAUGAAACAAACGUGUGAAAAAGGUACAUAAAAUCGGUGUGACCCGUUCUUGUAUUAUAAGAAAUCAACUUGCUUAGGCCUUGCCGGACUCCUCACAACCCGGUGGCUUGAAGGCGAUGAAGCUGAUGCACUGCACUUGCCUGGUGUUGUCGAAGCCGAUGAUGCGGACAUAGGCGUCAGGGUACUCCUUCUUCACCUCCUCCAGCUCCUUUAGCACCUGCGUGGCGUCGGUGCACCCGAACAUGGGAAGCUUCCACAUUGUCCAGUACCUGCCGUCGUAGUACCCGGGAGAGUUGCCGUGCUCACGGAAGACGAAACCGACCUUGCUGAACUCGAGGCAAGGAACCCACUUGGAGCGGAUGAGAUACUCGAUCUGCUUCAAGAGGGACUCCACGGUGAGAGGCGGCAGGUAGGAAAGGGUUUCGAACUUCUUGAUGCCCUCAAUUGGCCACACCUACAAUUAGAUUAAUAAUUAGCACCGAAAGUAUAAUUUGAGACACAUAUCAGUAUUUCACUUCAACAUAUGUACAUGAUGACAUACAUACCUGCAUGCACCUGAUCCUUCCACCGUUGGAGACGCUGCCGAGACCAGCGCUGGCUGAGCGGCGGCCGAUGGGGAGCCCGGCGGUGGACUUGAGGCCCUGGAAAGGAGCAACGGCAGUAGCCGCUGACGACAUCACUGUGGGAGCCAUCGUACACGUACGUAGAUAGCUAACAAGAGGAGGCAGGCUUGCUUGAGUGCUCUCUAGCUACAGCGGCUUAUAUAACUGUAGGCUCCCCACCCAUCCAAUAUCAGCACAAGAUCUAGGAGGGGUGGCUGCAGUUCGCCGCGCGGAUUUGCCCAGGCCACGCUGGCAUCCUACGGAUCAGGUCGGGCGCCACAUGGCCGCACGAAAUGGCGCGCGUUAUCCUCUGGACGGAUACAAUUGGCUGCAACGCACUCUGCAAAUCAUGCCAUGAAGUGACCAAUUUUCACCUAUCAGGAUAGAUCCAAUGUGCCACGGCAUGCACUCAAAAACAGAACUUGCUAAUCCCUCCAAUCCAUAAAAAAUCUCGCCCACUUAUUAGAAAAUUUGUAAUGAGUUAAUGCAAAAUGAGCAGCACUUUUUAUGAACUAGAGGAACAACAAAUUAAGAGAAACUCUUCUAAGAUCUUAUCGAGAACGAAGCUUGCCCCCGCGUCGCUCAGUCUGGGGCGACACGGGCGGCAACCACACCAGCCCCGGCAGCAGCCUCUCCCCGUCCUCUCCUCCCCCUCGCCGCCGCCGGGCAAAGCCCGCACGGGGACGGCGGCGGCGGGGCUGUUUUUCUUGGCGGGGGUGUCCUAGAGCUCUUGGCUGAGGCGUUUGAGGUGCUGCCUCAUCGUGGUCGCGGCGUCUCCGGCCCGAUCCGGCAGGCUAUGCCUCGUCUUCGGCUAGAUCCGGCCGGCUUCCUCCCGGAUCCGGUGUUUCCCCUCGUUCUUCCUCUCCCUGGUGCUCGGUCUGCUCGUGGCUGCGCGGCUUCACGGCGGCGCUCUUCGGCCGGAUCUAGCUACUCGUUGGCCAGAUCCGUCAUCUCCUCCGGCUGAUCCGGCAUGUCCCAGGUCUCUUCGUUUCCAUCAUUUUUCCUCUCAGUUUGGUGAGGCGGCUGAUUGAACUUCACCGGCGGCAGAUGGGCUGCUGCUGCGGCCAUACAUGGUCCAAGUCGGUCCUUUUCGAUGCCAUGGUGGCGUGGUUUUCAUUUUCGGUCGCGUCUUCGGCUGCUGCCCGUGUGCGAGGUAUGGACGUCGGCUCCGGUGUUUGGAGUGUUGCUCUGGAUGAAAACUGCCCGUGUGCGAGGUAUGCCGAAGACAACGAUGUUGUAGCGCCGUUUUCCUUCUUGGAGGUGUCGUCGAAGAGCUUCACUUUCCCUCACUUUGAUGUUUGGUGUCUUCGGGUGAAAACCUAAGAUUUGGCUAUGGCCAGAUCGGGCGACAACGGCGUUUUUACGUCGAUUUCCUCCUUGGGGGCGUUGUCAUGGAGACAACGACUCUUGGUGGCAUCGGGUGGUGUGGUCCGUCUAUGGUGGAGCUUGUUGUCUCGAGUUGUUGAAGGUUUGGUGGUGUCUCUUCUUGUGUCAUGUGUUAGCUUAGGCUGUCGGUUUGUGUCCGGCGAGAACGUGCGUUUCUUAUCCUUUGGUGCGGUUUCGGCAUGUGAUGCCUUUCGUCUUCACUAUCGUCACGUAGGUGUCGUGUUGUAUUCUCGGUGGUGUGUGGUCUUUCGGCUUAGCCAACGGCAAGUGGAGGUAUGAUCUCGGUUGUGUAUUGCCCUUCGACUUCAUCGGCGGCACAUCGGCGUCGCGGUGGGUCUCAGUGACGCGCAGCCCUUCGACUCUGCCGGCUACGUAGGUGUCAUGGUGCGGCCUUGACCCUGUGCUUCCCUUCAGCUACGGCGACGACAUAGUGUCUGGGUGGGCUCGUCAGAUCGACGCCUUUCGACUACAUCAACUAUGCUCUUCAUUGUGCAUUUAUUUUGCCAUUGACAUGUUUCAAGAGUCUAGGUUUUUUCCUUGUGUUUCUUUUAGCAAAUGCUGUUCUGCAGGCUGGCUUUUGCCCACCCGAUCAGAAAAGAAAAACAAAUUAAAGGCUAAAAUCAAGCGAUGUUAUAUUCCCUUAGCUAUUACAAAUAUGGAUGAUAAGAGUUAUUUAUCCUUUUUCAACGAGUAACCCUUUACUUGGAAGUUCCAUGUGCAUGGCGCUGCAAGAAAACAAACAUCAUAAUGGGGCAAGACUUUUUUUUUUAUAAACAUCCAAUUUGGGUUAAAGUCUGAAAGAAUUUGGCUAUCUGAACUUUCAGUUUCCACAUUCUUUUACCUACUCAAUUCUUCAGCCAACAGGAUCAAUGGCGACCUACUAACACCAACCAGAACACAUGGGUCACAAACACGAAAAAGGGCUAGAAGGCUACUUAUACACACUCAUGUGUACUGCGAGCAAAAGAACAUAAUGUACAAAACUUUACAAAAUCUAGGGAAUUAAGACCUUCCCGUAUGCUGUUGCUGCCGCUGCUGCUUCAUGCUGGCUCUCCUGGCAACAUCCCAUGGUUUGUGAGGCACACCUACACCUUGCUGGGAUGCGAAGAACGACUCGUAUCCCGGGGAGUCGAAAGCAAAACCAGUGUGCUUGGAGUUCUCUCGAGGGAGCAUGGAGAUCGCAUAGCUUCUUGCUUCUUCUGGGCUCAAAUGGCUCCUCUCAGGCAGAUGUAUCAUGCUGUAUUCGUGGGGGUCAUCCUUGUGCAUCUCCUGGAUUACUUGGUAGUCAUAGGGAAAGAGCCAUCUUUGGAGCCUGAGAAAGCACACAGCAUCAAAGACAACAAUUGAUUCAGCUACUUCAGUAUGUACAAUGGAAGGAAUAACAAACGGAUGGCAUUAACAAACAUAUAAUUUUGCAAAAGAGCUGGUAUCUUACGAUAGAUACAGGAAAUCACCAAAGAGAGCGAUGACUGGAGCAAGCAUUAGUGUGAGGUAGAAGAAAAAGGUACUCAUCAGAACAUAAAUCACAAAAUAUACAUUUUCCUGCACAAGGUACACAGCAUUAAGUCAAUGCAUUUGUAGCAAGUAAUCGUCAUCAGCAGUGUAAUAGCUACAUUAUUCACCCACCUGUCGGUCAAAUGAUGUCAUUAUCGCAGAAUAUAUGAAGAUAAACAGAAACCAGGCCGCUAUACUGCCAGCUACGCUGAAAUAAUGCCAUCUCGUGAUAGAAUUGCACGACAUGAGGAGACGUAGAUUAACAGUCACCACAACACAAGUAAAGGCCAUCGUGCUAACAUCCCAUUGACCAAGAAUCUUGCCAGAUGAACCGUGACCAUGCUGACUUGCAGCUGCAGUAAAGUAAUAGAACACUAUUGACUGGUAGAAGGCAAAGAAACCCCACACCGCAAUCACUUUCCACCGGAAGAAUGUGUUCCUAAUUCCUUCUUGGUAAAGUUGUGGGUAUUUUUUUGAUAGAGAUGCACUCACAUCCUGAAAGGGUUCAGUUUAGUGAAUGUAGCAAGGAGCGUCACUCCAGAACAAGAAAAGUAGAACAAAUACAAGCAACCAUACCUUAUCAAACAACCCAACCAUAAUUACAGGUAGUGCCGUGAAAAUGACAUUAUACAGAGACUGGAACCAGUCAUCAUAAAAUCGCUGACCAGAAAAGCCAGUUUGGAAAGUGAACCAGAACUGAGUUAGUGUAAAAGUCAGAUUCUUGUAGAAGAAGUAUGUGAUAACCUGAAACAGAAAGUGUCAAUGUUAAAAAAAUUAAACUACACAGAUUGGCAGCUACAAGCUAAGGGACCAAAGCAUACCUUGCACAAUCUCAAGUAUGACCACCGCCCAUGUACAAGAAGUAAAUCCGUAAGAUAUCGAAACUGAGCAAUGGCAAAAUCACUCGCCAUAACAGCUUGCAUUCCUUCUUGUCCGCUGAUGCCAAUACCAACAUGAGCAGCUUGAAUCAUACUCACAUCAUUAGCACCAUCACCAAUACUGAGAGUUAUCUUACGUGCACCUUUCCUAACUAAACUUGCAACCUACAAAUGUGUCAACAUUACAUGUUUUGGCAUCAUUCGAACCCAACAGGUUAUUAGGAAAUAAAUCCAAAAAUAAGAGACUUUGAGAUUGCUGAUGGGAUGGGUAACAACCAAAUAAGCACAUAUACAAUAAGUUAAUUAAUACUACCUUUGUUUCAAAAUAUUAUACCAAAACGUCUUAUAUUUUGAAACAGAGAUAGUACUUAUAGUACAAGAGUGUACAGGACAUUUAGUUAAGAGGCCAAAACUAGAAUAGCAAAAGCAACCAAUGCACAGUGGUUAAUAAUGAUCUUGUGAAUCAUGCACAAACUAUUUUGUUGUCAAGGUACAAAAUUGGAUCCUUUAAAAUGUAAUAAUAUCAAUAUCCCCCGUUUAUUGCCCAAGCAUCCUGAAAGGCAUGCAGCUGAGAGCUGCAGACCAUACUGCUAAUUAUUUCAUGGGAAAAGGCAAGGCAUGCAUGAUAAGAACGCUAAAAGCGAGAAUUGAUAUUUACCUGUGCCUUUUGCAGUGGAGAAACUCGACAACAUACAACUGAUUGGCAAAUUAAACUCAAACCAAGAAGAUUCACACGCAGAGCUGGGUCUAGAGCGUACAUCAAGCAUCGUCCAUCAAUAAUGAAAGCCAACUUUCGUCCUGGCGUGCUCCUCAAAGAACGGUGGGCUUCCUCAAGGUAACUUCUCAGACUCUGUUUUACCGAGUCUUUGAUAACACGUGCAAUUUCCACAGGGUCUCCCUGAAAAUGACUGGAACAUUAUUCAUGGCAAAGAUAUGUGCAUAAGUUGAUUUACAUCAAUCAGAUACAAAUGCUAAAUUGCUAAUUAUGGUUGAUCAAACUGCAAAACACACGAGAUAUCCAAAAGGCUAUAUAAACAUGAUGGAGAGGCUAAAGCACUGAAACAACAGAAUCAACAUAAAGUAUUUUGUACUAUUAUGCAACUAAGCCUUUUGUCCCAAGCAAGUUGGGGCAGGCUAGAUAUGAAACCCAAACAGAAACUAAAGCAAAGUGCAGGUAACAAAAGAGCAAGAGAGUAAAUCAAGGUUCAGGCACAUGGACUGCUGAUUUCCAUGCAGCCCUAUCAAAAGCAAAAUCUCUAGAUACAUUCCAGUCCUUCAAGUCCCUUUAACUGCCUCCUACCAAAAGCAAAUAUCAUAGUAAUCCACCAACCAAAGUAACAAGGGAACUACUUGUAACUUCUUAGUUCACAAGUACAUACCAGUUGAGCUAUCCAAUUAUUCUAAAUAAUAUGGUUUGAUACCUUUACCAAAGUCUCAACUUGUAUUCAUUUUAAAGCUUAUACAAGAUAUUAUAUGUUAUGGCUUAACAGUCUCCAUGACACAAUAUGGCUUGACUUCACAGUUUAAUUCUAUAGGAUUAUCUUACCCUGUCUUCAGCAUCUCUAAUUGCAUCUGUCUCAGAAGUGAUGAUGAAUUGUUUUGUAUCGUUAUUCACCAGGCUGCACGCUGCAGAGCAAAAACUAAAUAACUUCAGAAGCUUUUCUAUGUCAGGUGAAAGAGAGAGAAAAAGACCGCCCGCCCCCCACCAAUAAUCCAAAACUGAGCUUCUAUUAGACCCCUUAAGAACGAAACAAGCAUGCAAAUUGAUCUAUAUAUAAUUAAAACCUCACCAUAUGCUAUAUUAAUUGCUGUUUCCAUUUUAUCUCCAGUUAGCACCCAAAUUUUUAUGCCAGCUGCAGAAAGAGUUUCAAUGCAGGCUGGAACCCCUUCUUGCAGUUUGUCUUCUAUUGCAGUGCACCCUAUCAAUAUAAGGUCCUUUUCAAUCAACUCAGCCACCUACAGGGGAAGAAACAGAAGGAAAUUAUAUGGCAAUGUCCCAGCAAUAUCUUAAAUCAGAAUAUACAUUAAGUCUAUUACUUCAAAUUCCUUUUUCCUAGAAAUCACAGUGAACUUAGUACAUGAAAGAAUGAAAGGAUAAUGCUUUUCUAAUGGGGAUUUGAAAAAACAUCAUAAAAAUAAUAAUAUAAAGUACUGUAUGUUCUUGUUCUAGAUAAAUUACAAAUAUCUUUUGCUCAUGAUCCUCUUUCCUGACUAAAAAAUAUAUAUUAUUAUGUAAAAUACUAAUGUUCUAUGGCAGUACAAGAUAAUAAAUUAGCACAAAAAACUAUUAAACUGCAAAUGUCAGCUGUUAGGGAUGGAUGACAUGACUCCUGUAGUUUUGGGGGGAGAGAGAGAGGAGACACACUGAACAAAUUACUUCCUUCGUCUCCAAAGAUUGCCAUGCCACAUUCUAUUCGGUCAGUCAACCUUUUACAACUUCAAAAUUAACAAUUAUAAGUGAAUUGAAUUACUACAUGAAAAAUAACAGCACUCAAUUUGCUUGCAUAAUAAUUUGUACGCAAAACUUUUGCUUGUAUAUUAGCAUAGAAAUCAUAGCCAGAGUUUUAUGUUGGGAGAAUAUAAAAUUAAAAAAUGGCCUACAUUUGUCAGGUACAUUCAGUUAAUUGUUUCCAAAACCAAAUUAAUUUUCAUACAUAAAUACCAAACGGAUCAAUAGCAUGCUCAACAGUGCACAUGAGACUCGAGUUCAGUACUGGAUGACAGAAAGUAAAAAAAAUCAGGCAAGCACUAGAAGGUGGAGGGGAAGUAAUCGAAAUUCAAAUCACAGGGACUGUUCAGCCUGUAUACUCAACAGAAGAGGAUGGUACACAUACCUCAUCAAGCUUCUUAUCACGAUCUCGUAAAGAAGAUUUAGCUUGAACAAACUUCUCAUUCCAGCUUUCGUACUGCUCCCUGCUUAGAUCUCGAUAAGCAAGGCAAAGCGUGCGCAAGCCAGCAGAGCCAAAUUGUUCUAGAUGUUCUCUGCUUGUCUUUUUAAUGUCAUGAUUUCCAUCAGCUAACCGUUCAAAAAUGACAUUAUCAGCGCCCUGUUACACAACAUUUGUAUAAGGUUAGUGCAUCAAUCUACAAAGUGAUAGCUACAUAAAGAUUCUUUUUUCUUGUAUUACCUUGCAAUACAGAACAAGUUUUCCAUUUGGGAAACGGCAAACCACAGAUUGGCGCUUUCUUGUACUGUGAGUGCAGUAAAGUGUGAAGUGCAGAACAAUGAUUUCAUCUUGUCAAAUUUAAAUUGAAAACAGAUAAACCAGACCUGUUGAAUUCCAAAACAUUCAGAAUUUCAUAUGCAACAUCUUGUAUACUCCCCAUCCUCUCAACAUGUGAUUCCCGAACCAAGACUGUGGUUGGCGUACGUCUACAAGACAGGCACAAAAUGUCAACCACCGGCAUUGCCAUUCACAAUAAAAAUGCCACAUGAAAUAAUUUGCAACAAAAAUCAUAAGAACUUAGAUGAGUUCAUGUUCACAGCACUUGCUUUAACACUUGUCUUAAUUUACAACGGCAAUUUUUUGUUGAUGGGCUAAUAGUUUAUUUAUGCUUCUUAGUAUGUACAUUCAGUCCUUCAUACAACAAACUAUAUAAGCAAUAACCUGGGUGAGUGACUCUUUUAUGCACAUUUUCCUUGGGACCAUAGCAUAGUUUUUUAAGAUACCUUGUUUGCAACAAACUGAUAAGAGGAAUCUAUAACUGUAUUUAAAGGCAAGGUAAGACAUGCCUAUAAAAGAAGAAACCAAAAUUCUUCGCAGCAGCGACAAGCGCGGCCUCGUCGGGAGAGGCAGCUUGAUAAGUAAUCUUUUCCGGUGUCUCCUCACCCUCAGGAAGAACUGUAUGACAGAUUGCAAGGCAUCUGCAGAAUUGCUAUAGAGCAAAUAACAAAGUUGUUACACAACUAGCACAUUAACAAGGGAAAAUGUGAAAAAGGAAAAUAGGUUCCAAAUUUUAUUAGUAAGGGCAUAUAUCGUGAUAUGUGAAUAAUUUGUGUCAACUAAAUCAAAACUGAUUAUGACCAAAGGGGAACCAAUCGAACUAUUCCACAGGUAGUCCCGUAUUUACCACGCAAGCAUCAGGAUUAGGUUCAUUUCUCCAUGCACCACGCAUUAUUCUAGCAUCAUCAAAGUUGAAUCCUUUCUCAUGAACUGCAGUGGCUGAUCUUUUACCCUAAAAAAGGCAAGUAAACUGGAUAUUAAAUCAGUUGUGCAUUAAAUUUUUCAUCAUAUACCACCACACUUCAAUAGCGUAAACAACAAAGAAAAUGUUGUAGACCUCAUCAUCAUCAAUCUUGACUCCGGCUCGCUCGGCUCCUCCUUUUUCAAUCUCUGUGAUGCCAGUUCCAUAUAUUUCCCCUCCAAUCGAACAUUUAAAGAAUUCCAUCAAGUUUCUUGUAAGUGUUCCAGUUUUGUCAGAAAAUAUAUACUCAACCUGAACCAUUAGUGGGGCAAAAAAAAUUUGGCAGAAAUGUCAAAUUAUUUGCAAGUGUUAAGUGCAUUUUAGUACCACUCGGCAUUUGUUCAGUCAUAUAAGCAUUUCUGGGGAUCUAGAACAGUUUUUCGGUGGGAGUAAGUCACUUAAUAUUAGUGAAAUGAGACUGUUCCCCAAGUGCUUAUAAUUGAUCCCACUUUCUGGAAUGAGUCGGUGCAGUGAGGUCAUUCUAUCCAUUAACCAAACCCAGCCAUAUAGGUCAAAUAAGUAAAUAACCCCAUUUCAGCAACAAACAAAGGGGCUUUCAUCAAACUAAACAGAAUGCUAAGGAACAAAAAAAAAACUGAUAUUACCUGCCCAAGCUCCUCAUUCAGAUUAGAAGUCCGAGCCAAAGCUGGGGUGUUGCUCUCGGCAUGAUACAUAUUCAGAUCAUUGUUAAUAAACUUUGCACACUGAAUGAAUUUGAUCAUCUGCCAGCCAAAAUAAACAUAAGGUCCAAUCCAAAUACAGGGUACACUAAAUGAUAAAUUGGUCAAUAUACCUCAAUGGAUACAUAAAGAGAAAUGGGGAUGAUCGUUGAGUAUAGAGUUAUUAGAGUAAACAUAGUUAAAAUGGUCACCUGCAAAAGUACAAACCUAUGAUAUAAGGCCACUUAGAGAAUAUUCUCUACAAUAAAUUAACUAAAAUAAUAUAUACCACAAAUCUGUUCUUGGGAUUAAACUGGUCCUCGACACGCCCACGCAAUCCAAGAUAGAAGUAUUUCUCAUUAAUAAACACGCCACUGUUCACAAAAGCCAAGUAUGAUGAGUCCAUUGGUAGAGUUUUAGGUUUCUAAAGAACGUGCAAGCUAAGCAGUCAUAGUUACCAAAAUCUAUAUGCUGAACAGAGCACUUCCAUUUCUGACCAUCUAGAAAGUGCCCUAUUAUGUACCUCCCACAUAAAACCACUAAGAAAAAAGAUAAGGCUAUUAAGACCUAGUCAUGUGCUCAUCUAUACUGCUCCUAUGCCACAAUAAAAAAAUAACUUCCCCAAACAAGCUCCUGACAACUCAUGUCAUAAUGUUUAAAGUUUAUCUCUCUAUUAACAGUUGUUUUUUCAUGAUCAAUUAAAUUGUGAAAAAUGAUUGUGCAAGCAUAAGCCUCCACAACAUCAACCUAACCGAUAUAACUCAUGUUCAGAGAAUAUACAUGUAAACAAUAAUACAAGAUAGAUAAGUCAAAUAAAUGAAGUGGGCCAAAUAAAACACUGACCUUCCAAUAGCACCAAUGACACACAUCGUAAAGAGGGUUGCAAAUAGAGCAAGAAUAAGCUUGUCUAGUUUCUUCUCCAAUGUACUUCUUUUAGAGGGAACAUUCAUAGAAUUCAUCAUAACCUGCAAUAGUGUCCCACUGCAGUAAAUCUCAAAACUAGAAGCACAUCUAACCUACAAGUUGAAUAUAUAGGGACACAAAAUUGCACAUACUUUCGUCUCAUGGCCCGUGAAUAUAACAGCCGCGACAAUGUACUCUGUAUUACGAAGGCUGCAUCCCUGUGGCAAAGUGGUAAUAAGAGGUUGCAUGUGUGCCACAUAAAGAGAGAGAAUUAAGUGUCAUGCAAGACACCGUUCAGUCUGGUGAAAGUAAACAUUUCUUUUGCACUUUACAAACAUUGCUUCAACCCUUCACCACUUAUCCUACAUAUGGGACUAGAGAAGAAAUGGAAGUUGUUUAUAUGAAUGUUAAACAUUUCCAAAUUGUUUAUAUCAUAGCUAUCCUUGUUUGCAAACCAAUAAGAACAAUAUUAUUAUAGAGGUGUUUUAUGAUGAAAAUUUCUGCUGGUGACAUUUGGGUGUCGUCAAUAUUGGUAUUUGGAGGAGAUGUUGGUGAUCAAAGUUAAAGGCCGAGUAAAGGCAUCACGCUAUGAUGUUAUUUUUUACCUGAGGGAUUUUCUUAACAAACUCAUGCUAAAUCUAGAACAUGCAAACAACUUUGCAGGUGGACAAUCUUGUAAAGAAAUUUCAAGGGCAUGUUUGUGUGAGGGGUAUUACUUUGGUACGUGUUGGUAACUACAUACCUAAUUGUUACAAGAAAAAUCUCAUCCAAACAAGCCCUAAGGACAUUAUGGACCUUGCUACUGCAAAGUUGGUAAGUCGAAAAUACGACAGGAUGUCUGAUUGAUAUGUAGGACCUGGACCCACAUGUCAUUCUCACAGCGAGUCGCACUAUUUCAAAUGUCAACUUUGUGGUGGCAUGGUUUCAAUUUUCCCAAUAAGAAACUAGAUACAAAUAGCAUAGAUGAACAGCACUUACCCUUAGUAGUAUUUGAUUUGGUGAAAUUGGUAUAGUUUGCUUGUCCACAAUAAGGUUCCCGGUAAAUGUAUAAAGUGAAUUGUUUGGCUGUUCGCAUUGUAUUUCACCUGUAAGCCAUGAAACAUACAGAUAAUGUGAAGUUAAGAAAAUGUAGAAUAGUUAAGUGAAGUUCAGAAAAGGAGCAAUGCUUCCUACACCAACUACCGAAAAAUGUCUGCAACAUGGAACAAGAAUAGAUAAAAACCUUUGAAUUCAGAAGCCUUUUCAGGAAUUACGCAGUCCCAGGUUUUCUCCAAAGCCUUCCUUAUUUUCAGGUUAGUUUCCCCAUCAAGAUUUGCUGUCUAAGGUAAAUAGAAGUAUGAUACACUUCAAUUAAAACAGAGUUUCUCUAAAUCAUUCAAUAAUUUCAAUUUGGACAAAAGAUGGAGAAGGUAAGAAUGAAUAUAUUGACCUCUAUGUAGCAGACACCAUCAGGGUUCGUACUUGAUAGGAAGAGCAAGUCAGAAGGAAAGUAAGUGUCUUGCUUGAUCUGCUCUAAAGAAGUGCCAUCACUAUUAGUCUUUUUGGAUAUGUGUAUCGAGCUGAAGAUUAAAUUUGCACAGCACAAAAGAUCAAGUGCAUUAAUUUGUGGAAGCAACAGAUCAAUUGAAUUGAUCAUCAAAUUGCUAUCAGGAAAGAUGAAGACAUUACCCUCACAAUAUCUCCAACCUGCAGUCUUUUCCAAGGGGCACUUUCCCAUUUUUGACCUUGCAAUACAUCGACGUGCGCAUUAUUAAUUGACAUGUCAUUCUGGAAACGUUUCUGUAUAAUGGGAGGCAAACAAAAAGGGAAGAAUAUCAGAUAACAUUAAGAAUAGCAAUAAAAUAGUGGAGCAACAGAGCAUGAGAGCAAUACUAACCCAGUCCUCAAAAGCUUCCUUGAUGAGUGAAACCAAAAGCACUAAACUAAGUGGAACCACAUUGGUGACAGGGUGGACUGGACUGCGAAGAUACAAGCAUGUAUGAACUAAGAUUUCUAGAAGUAAAGGUGAAGGAAAGCAAAGGAUGACUGAAUCAACUGAUGGACUUGAUAUGCUAAGAAGUGUCUAGCUGUAACAUGAGAAUUCCAUAGGGUGCAUGCAUGAGAGAGAGAGAGAGACCUAAUUGGUGUAGUCGACAAGAUUGAAAUCAUAAGAAAGUAAAGAUUUGCCACCCGUCUGAACUGUCAAAGCAAAAAAAAAAACAAAUGAAUUACAAAAGGUUCCUAUGGUCAAAUUGCGAUAAUACAGAAAGGGAACAUCUAAAUCGGUGUUACAGCUACCAUUGCAAAGUUUCUUUAUUCGAUAUGGAAAAAUGCAUUACAUGUUUAAUGUAUGAAGCCAUUGAAAUACUUUAAUGUACCUUACGUAAAAAACAGUGGAUAAUGAAAUUGCCAGAAUUAUGGUAUCGCAUAAAAUGAAGGUUACAUUGAGCGAAAAGCAUGAUCAGGGCUUUACCAAAUAACAAAAUCAUACUUCUCCUUUUCUCAAUAUAUGGCAUUUUAGGUUUCAUUGAAGACAAGUCUUUGAAAAGGAUUUACUUUGUGUUGUUUUUAAGGCAUGAAAUUUAUAUCACUAGAUUCAUCCUCAAAAGUACUUAAUGUGGAUUCAUAUCAUAUAAAUCACAUAUUAAUGAAGUAAUUCUUGGUCAAAGUCUUGUAUUAACGAAACCUAAUAUGUCCUGUAUUGACAAAAUGAGGGAGUAUAUUAUCUAACAGUGCAUGUAUACAGGCACGAUACUGGUAGCGCGUAUUACAAGCAAGGUAUCUUAAAAACAUUGCAACACAGUGCCAGACCAGGUAAGCAACUAAGCAUCUCAUGUAUCCACUAUUUUAAGGGAAGUUGAUCCAGAGUGAGGAAAUAAACAUUUUUAAGGAGAUAUAUCAAUUUGCAAUGUGAAAAUGAUACGGAGUAGUAUAAUCAUUUCACUGUGAUAACAAAUACUCCCUCCGUUCUAAAUACUUGUCGCUGUUUUAGUGCAAACUAAAACAGCGACAAGUAUUUAGGAACAGAGGGAGUAACUUCCAUUUACCGUUAGACAUGAUACAAAAUAAUAUGUUGAAAAAAAAUCUAGCCAAAAACUAAAAAACAAACAGAAAAUCUGCAUUAAACGAUGACAAACCCAGCAGGUAUGUUGAUUAACAAAAUAUGUAUGAACAAAAAACAACGCAUCAAUACCUGUUCAAACAAUCCUUUAGGUAGAAAUGUCAGCACACUGUACUUUGUAGUCGACACAGAAUUUCCCUGGAAAUGUAGAAUGAGAAUGUUAAAGAACUAAUUCUAGCAGAAAAACAAAGUAGCGCUCUGCAUUAGAAUCGCGAUGGUCUGAUACCCAACAUGAGGGAGAUUCUGAAACUAAACAGAAGAGCUAAUUGCAACUAGAAGCAUGAAAAAAGUAUAGCUUGAUCUUUUUACAACAUCAAGUCUGAAUACAUUCAAGCAUUUACACUAACUUGGAACAAAAUGUGGGUGUCAAAGAAAAUGCAUGAAUACACCUACUUACAAUAAAGCACCAAUUUUGCAGUGAUUGGACAAACUAUGGUUAAAAUACUUAAUAAUAGAGUUCUACGUAUUUGGAGGCAUAAAACGCAUUGCAGUUGGAGCAGUGGCAUUAUCAUGUUAGUCAGUCUAACAUGGCAGUGAAUGACGUGAAUUUUUUGCUAGUUUAGACCUCUGGCCAGCGCAAUUGACAAAAAUGCCCCCCUCUCAAAACUAAUGCCAAAAAUGGUCUGGCAGAAGGCCCGAAAGGCGCCACAUUUCAUUUUUCGCCAUCUGAGCUGCGCAUGCAAACAUUCCGACAACCUGAAAGGCGGAAAGGCCGUUCCGCCUACUGCAUUUGAUGAAUGCACCUGACAAGGGCGGAAGGUGAACUGGGCCCUGCAGAUGGAAGCAAUUUCCACAUUUGUUACAGACCUGGAAUCUUUUUUUUUGUUGGAGUCGACGGACCAUGUAUGUGCGGAUGCAUAGGAAUCGGCAAGCAGCCUAGCUGCUAGUUCACGGGCACGUUUUACAUUUUCUUUCCUCAGGUUUGGCUAGUGCUACCACGUUGAUACUAAUCAACGCUUCUUGUGAAUGGGCUUAGUUGCUUCUACUAGUCGUGCGAGCGUUAAUCUUUUCUCUGUGCGCCUGCAUGUGCGGGCGUGGGAAUCGGGUCAGGUCCCUGCAGACAGCACGCCUGGCUGCACUGGGCCUGCUUCAGCUUCCGCCCCUGAAAAUUCACUUUCGUCCAUUUCAACUGGAAACAAGUAGGCUCCACCUGUCCUGUUGGCGGAAAGUUCAUUCCUCCUACCCAGUGGCCACUGGGUCAGUUGCUGGGCUUUCCACCACGUCAUUUUUCAAAUUAUAUUUCAGAUGGAGCUAUUUUUGCCAAUUCCGUUUGACAAGGGGCUACAAGAGCAAAGAAAUUGAAUGACAUAGCAAGCAAUCAAUUUCCCCUUAUAGGUAAAUAAUAAACAGCUUUGCUUCAGCUUACUGUCAUCAGCUGGUGGCUGACUGCCCUGACCAAACACAAGUUCAGUAAUCUACACAGCAAGCGGCACACAGGUGCAGCUAAGCACAUGGAUGAACAGAAUAUUCCAGCCAUUGAGGCUCAGCUCUCGAAGCUUAAUGCCAGGUGGCAUCUACAUUGUAUUGCAGCCCGUAGCACCCUGAUUGACUAGUAACCCAACAAUGAGACAAGCUCUAAUCCACCCAAUGACCUCACAGUUGGCAAGAAAUGCAGCCCUUAGUGACACGCACCACCCUACAUAACUUUCUCGUGGACUAAUCAGUAUGAAUCAUAUAAACCCUCUGCAAGCUGCAGUGAAAUAAAACUACUACUACUGAACUAGCUAUUGUCCCAGAUGGCCAUCUCCAACCCAACCGCCCAAGCAUGAAACAAGGGGCCAGUUACGAGAUCUAGGCCUACAGACCCCUAGACCUUGAGACAACCGACCUGUUGAUCAUCCGAAUUAGAGGAGGAGGUGCACACCCGUACCUUGUACCCGACCGGCGCGUUGGCUUCGCGGUCGUUGCAGUAGAUGGUGCGCACGGUGGGUGCCUGCGGCUGCGGCUGCCGUCGGAGGCUGCCGCCCCCGCCGCCGAGACGCGCCGUCCUGGACGCCUCAGCGCGGCCGGCCUGAGAGGUCCCCCCCCGCGGCGACUGCUCGCCGCCCAGCCGCGCGGUGGCAACCCGCAUCAUCUCCUUUAUGCGCGAGCUCAUCCUGCCCCCCUCAGCGCCAAACCCAGCGCUGGAGGAGCCGGCGGGAGAUCUGGGGAAACCUCACGGUGGAUCGGAGGGGAGACCUAGUCGGAUUUGCGCGGCUUUCUGGUGGAUUUCAGUGCCUCGCUGAGGAGGGGAUUCGAUUUGGGUCACGCGUUCCCGUAUGUGCGUAUUUUUUCCGUGUAAUUUUUUUGUUUUGCCUUUUUCUUUUCCUUUGGCUCCGGGAGAAGAGAAGACAGGAGGGGAAGGAAAAGCGAAGGUCGCGACUUCGCGAGGAAGAAAAUGAAGGGAUUACUGCAGAUCACACCCUUGAUUAUUUUCGAAUAUGGAAAGCUCCAGUAACUGAAGUUUGAAAUUCCAGCCGCGUUUGUCUUUUCCUUCUUCGAGCAAACAACCGUGUUCUUGACUUGUUCUAUGUUUUUGCUGUCCGGAGGACUACCCGAUUUGCAAGUAAAUAAUGGCAUUAAUUUCAUAUAAGCACUUUAGGACACCACACUUGACAUGGUUUUCUACUGACGACGACUAUAUGGUGGCUUUGAUGUUCCAUGAAUAGAUCUUUUUAGCGGUGUUUCAAGUUCAGGUGUUAUAACAAAGCAUUACUCUUGACCUAUCUUCCCUUGCGACCAUGCUUUUUGAAUCGCCAAGUCGAGUCGAAUCGCCCCCCAACAGACUUGGAGGUUAGUAUGAUUAGUCAGAAACUAGUCUCGACUAAUCAACCCAAGUCGAGCCUAGUGAUCAGUGAGGUUUAGGGAGCUCUAGCAGGGAGCAUUAGAGGAAAGGAGUGAAUUGCAGUAGAGGGGAAGCACGAGGGAACAGUUUUUGUGGUGCUGGAGCUUGAAGAAGAGGUUCAUGGCGGCUAGGAUCUAGGAGUCGAUAAACUUAGAACGCCCGUGUUGAGGCAAACGCGUUGAGGAAGACGACUUCAAAGGUGGUUGGCUCAUUAUCAGGAUAGGUGCGUGCCUGGCAGCCCAUAAAGGCCUAUUAGAAAACCCUAACUCCCCCCUCCCCCCCCCCCCCACACACACAUUGCCUUCUUCUACACCACACACGCACCAAUGGCGGCCAUCUUCUUCCCCUUCCCUGCUGCUCCCCAUGCCUUCUCUCCCUCCCCGAAAAGAAAUAUCUUCCGAAAAUUCUUCUCUUCGAGUCAAGUUGAGGGGCUCGCGGCGUUCCUAGUCACGGCGGCUAGUCGGAGAAGUCGCGGUUCUAGCUGACGAGUCGCGCGACUUGCUCUGCUAGUCGAGUCGCGGCUGCAAGCCGCCAUCAUUGUGCUGGCUCGGCGACUAGUUGGCGAUUCAAAAACCAUGCUUGCGUCUUAUAAUUUUGUUUCCUCUUAGAUUUUUUUCAAUUAUGUAUGGAACUCUUUUAAGCUUGGCUAACAUAUUGGGUCAAUUUGUCUCCCAUUGAAAAAAAAACAAUUUCCUAUAAAAAAUAAAGUAUCCACAAAACAAUAUGCAUAGCGCAGUUGUUUUCAAAGUUGUGGAUGAAACUUUGUGUUGUACAGGCAACCACUUAAUAACUUGUUCGGUUGUAGAAUUCCCCGCAUGUAUUGAAGAGGAUUAAGAGAGAUCUAAGGAAAAUUGAUCUGCAAUUCGAUCAUUCCCUCUUAAUCCCCAUCGGAGUGGAAUCAACCGAACGGGGCUAAUGUGGACCAUAUCACCUUGAGGACUCCAUUCUUCUUUUAUGGCAACGUUGCAUGGACCUUGAUAUGAACGCACGUGCCUGCAAUCUCUAUUAUUUUUUCGUAAAUAGCAACUGUCCUUUCUGUAUCUUGUAAUAUGUUUUCUACAAUUUUAUUUGGGAUAUUUCGUCAAGAACCCAAAUCGAUUACAUUUUCCACUUUGGCGAAUGAGUCAAGAUUCUCCAUGUGUUCCAGCGAGGCAACUGCGAGCUACACAUGUAUGGUGAAACAAGCCUCGCAACUUCGUAAGUAACUCCAAAACUACAUCAGCACGUCUCUUGAACUUUGGAAACACACAGACGUGUUCCACGACCGUGAGGCGACGGAGUUAACGGGGCAGCGUUGCCGGAAAGACAAGAGUACCGUAACAAGGCCCAGACUGGGCUGCAUCGGCGUUCUGCCUCUAUUACAAGCGAGAGAUGUUGAACCGGCCAAGGUUAGGCAAGGCAGUCAGCGGGAGGAUUUUUUUUUUUUUGUUGUUGGUUUUGAAGAGGCGCGGGAGGAGAAGAACUUGCUUGACCAGCCCACAAGAUCGUGAACCGGUAUGACAUUGACAUUUUAUUUAGGGCCAGUAACGUGUAAUUAGAAGUACUAGCUUACAUCUCUUCCUUUUUGAACCGUCAGAUCUGCAACCAUAUCAUCUCUCCCCUUUGUCCUCUUCGCUAUGCCGAUUUUAGUGAAACGCCGCUGCCAAAUCUUCACAGGAUUGUGAACCGGCAGCAGCUUCGACCCUUCAAUAUUAUUAUUACAGCUAAAUAAAAGACUGAAAUUAUAGGUGAGGUCCUUUGUUCUAAUCGCCCAAGCGAGCAGAAGCCAAGAGAUUACGUGCAAGCAUAGCAUGGCCAUGUUCGCCAACUCAUGACAUAGUGGCACAGGGACUAACCACCUGGAUUACAUGGCUAGCUUCCAUAUAUGUGCAACAAAAUAUUGGUACCAGGCAGCCAUCUGUGCCACCAACCAUAAACUCCCUGAUCCCAAAAAAUACAAAAUACCAAGAGUUUCCACCCACAUCAGUACAAGUGCACAACAGUUUAAGAGACAAGCCAAGGAUCAUUCCCAGUUUGUGGGAAUAAAUAAGAGUCCGCAGCAAACAGAAAACUCAAAAUCGCUGGCAAAGUUAGGAUGUGGAAAAAAGAAAGGCUUAAAAUGAUCUAGCCAUGGCGUCAGAAUCUAUUAUCAAUGUUUCUCUCUCAAGGAUUUCCCUUCUAUAUAAAGUAUAAUAUUACAAAGGGGCUGCUUAAAUAUCAUGGACUCCUGGAAUGUAAAGAGGGUAAUAAUCAACACUACAUGAGCCUCCUUUUUCCUGAGGCUGCUUCCUAAGACUGACUGACUGCUUCCCCGAGGAUCCACAUACACCCUCCCCUCUCCUCAAGUUCCACCUCCCACCAUGGAAGUUAAACCCCCACCAUGGAUCCGAUGCUAACCAACUGUACGCGACCUGGAGAAAGUCAGUCAGCUUGGUGGUUCAAUCAAGACAGAGCAUCACGAUAUUGCCCAAAUGGUAUAAUUGGCAGGAUCAAUAAGUAGUUUAUGCUCGCAGCAAGAUCCAAAAGAACCAAUCUACCAUGACUAAUGUAUGACAAGAAUGAUGUCUUAUGUCUACUUUCAGAUACACUAUGGUCCAGGUGAAACAAUAUUUUAAAGUUUAGUAAUUACUGGCAGUAGUAGACAGACCACAGAAGUGUAAAGAUAUUUGCACACAUGACCUUUUAAUCCAAGGCUAACCCAACCUUGUAAGCUACGUGCUGUUUGUGCUAACGCUGCUGCUUGAAUGCAAUUAGACAGUGGUGAUGUCCUUGUUAGUCUGUUACAUACCUAAGGCAUCACCUCCUGAUUCUAGGUUUGCACCGGAACUCUGCUAAGAGCGCUAUGUGAUCUGAUGACCAUUCAGGUGAAGGAAGAGCAGUGUCUUUUCUUAAGCUCUCCUCAUCCAGAAGUUCCAACAAAGACUCCACGGUCAACGAAUCCGCUGAAACAAUAAAGGAAACAUGAUCAACUGACCAUAAUCAAACAUAUCACAAUACUACAAGCUGAUUCUGAAGCAAUUCCCAGAAGUCUAAAUACAGCAUACAGGUCAGGUACCUACCUGUGUAAAAUAUAUAAUCAACAGUUCCAGUGAAAUCCCUUGUGCAAUUUGUGAAAAGUGGUUCAUUUGUUCCUGGAUCCAUCCUCCUUCGCUGGUGCUCUAAAUCAUAGCCAACACCUACCAUUCUUGCAAAUGAAGAAUAUGCACUGACCUGCAAACAAGUAAACAUUGGUCAGAAUUUUAAAGGAAGAACAAGAUAGACAAGCUUGAUAGUUUUACUGUACCAGAGGAAGCUGGUGCGUCAACUUGCUCACGGGGCGUAAAAUUGAAAGUGGGUCUAUGGCCAGAUCUGGAUGCAAUUGAUCAACUUUGCCCACCGCAAGAAGCCCAUGUGGAGUACUGAAAGACAAAAGGAAGCACUUAGAGAUUUAAAGUUAGAAAAAACAAGUAAACCUGAAAAAUAUUGCUCCAAUAGAAUCUUGACAUGCACCUCCCCGGGAUUGAAUUGAAAUCCCCACAGACCAACAUUGGAAUGUCUGCACUGUUGGCUAUUUUCUCCAAUCCUUUUAGUAGUGUUUGAACCUGCAAAAAACAUACUUACUUUCGAUCUGAAUUUUUCAGAUGUUGCAGAAUGCUAGCCUACAGAGAAUGUGACAAUACUGACCUCCCAUAGUUUCACAUCUUUGAGGUCUUGGUGGACAUUUACAUGUGUAUUGGCCUGAAAUUUGAGAUCAUUUAAAAGAAUGAGACCUCCAUGACUCCAAGUAGCAUAAGCCUAGGCCGUAUGAACAAUGGGAAAUCUGUAGUAAAGUUGGCCUCAAAAUCUAGAGUCUAGAGAGCCAAGUCCCAAUCAUCCGCCAUUAACAUAUAGAUGUUUCCGUGCAUCUUAUGCUACUAAGGUCAUCCUACACAGAUAUAUGUUUCACUUCAUUCCUAAAUGUUGUGAGCAAAGAAGGAAAAGAAUCCAUAUGUUGUUCUGCACUAUGCUGCUAGCAGUUCAAUAGCUAAACAUACGGGAAAGUCCACUUUUGGCCCCUUAACUAUUGCCUCAGAUCAAAAUCAUCUAAUUUGCACCCUCAACUAUCAAAAGCAUCCAAGUUACAUCUGAAGGCAAUAUUUGUUAGAGGCUUUGUGUGAUGUGGCAUCCAUGUCAACGUGUUUUGCCACAUCAAUCGCUGCUGGGCAGUAGGGCCCACAUAUCAUGGCUGCCGUGCCCCUUCUUUCUUUAUAAUUCUUCCUCCUUAGCCAUGCCAUGGCCUCCUCUGUAGGCUAUAGCUUCCACUGCUGCUGCUACAGAUAACCCAUGUUUGACGUUGCAUAACAUCUUCUGAUUUAGAGAGGGGUAUCCUGACAGACAUGUACCAGUCUCCGCAAACCGCUGCACGGCUGCAUCCUGAGGGGAAUGGACAAAGAGAGGAUUAGAGAGGAAGGCUGAGGAGGGAGGCGUUUAGGGCGACUCCAACACGGCCACCCAAAUCGGACACAAAAAGUGUGUCCGUUUGGGUCUGCUGGUGCCCCUAACACGGUCACCCAUUUGGUCCGUUUUAUUAUUUAGUAUUGGCCACGGAUAGGCGGGCCAGGGCAAGGACAAGGGAGGACAAGCGCAGUGUCCACCCGCUGUCCGCCCAGACACAAACCCGGUCAGAUUUGGGUCGGCAAUGGGUUGAGCUGGACAGAAAAGCAGACAGCCGCCACACCGGACGAAAUGGGUCGCCGCGUUGGAGUCACCCUUAAUGCUAAGCUGGGAAAGAGGAAGGGAACAGAAAUAAGAGGAUGAGGACAAGGGAGGGAGAAAAGGGUGCUUCCAAAAAAUCAAUCCCAGGCAUGUGGGGCCUACUGCCCAGUGGAGAAUGAGAUGUCAAAGUUGCUGAUUUGGCGGCUACAUACAGAAUAUCACUCAUGAAACCAGCUUCUGGUCCUAUCGAACGGUUUCAUGAGUUGAUGGUUCAAUUUAGACCAGGCAAAAGUUGAGGGAUCAUAAUUAGGCUUUUCCAAACAUAAAUGAAUGUCAUGCUGUAAAAGUAGUGUUCGUCAUCCAGUAAACUGGUUCGAAUAUCCAACAAGCGCACAACUACUUUAUACACAUCUAAAGAAAGAACAGCUAUUUACAUACCACACAAAGGAGCUGCCUUUUACCAGGAGUUUCAGUUCCUUGGUUGCCAAAUUUUGCUUCUAAAACCGCAAUCAGCGCAAUAUUAUCCUUCAAAGCAAAUAGAACGUGUGAUAAAUAACAUCACUUUUUUUUGCGAAAAGUGAUAAAUAACAUCACUGUAGCAUACAUUAUUUCUUUUGAAGUUAAUCUUACUUUAAUCAGUCGACUUAAAGCCACUCUUUUCUGGGAAGCUGGAAUAAUAGCUUCUGUUAAAGACUGUGCAGCCUUAUUGAACUCAACCUACACAAGCAAGUACAAGUAUUAGAUAGCUGCAAAUAUCAAGCUGCUGCAAACCUGCAGUACAGGUACCUCGUAUUUUUUGACAUGUGAAAAUCUAUCUCUACGGAAGAAAGUAGCACAGCCAUCAAUGGCAUUAGGAACUCCAGCAUACACCUGUGACAACAGUAAAGUAAAAUCAAACAAGAGACAAAAGGUAUUAAACCAAAAUAUGAAGGAAAAAAUCAACCCAAAGAUACCUCUGUUGUCCGUUUCUUGUAAAGCGCCUGAUACCCAUGUUUAUCAAACUCAGGAGCAAAAAAAUCCUCAAAGUGGUUCAAUUGUACCUGAAAACAGUAGGACUUGGCUUAAUUCCCUCCUGUUACAAUCUUCGGUCACUCUUCGUUUUUAUUGUAAGCCGCUUCAGUAAACUCUUCAUAAUAUAUAUGCAGACAAUAUUCGUGAAAGUUUAAACAGCAAGCAAACUAUCAUAAAUUCAUAAUCCAACAUCACUGAAAAGUGAAAACAAUCAAACAAAGUGAUGGCACAAAUAUGGAAACGAACAGCCCAGCAGUAUAUGAAAGAUUGUAGGUUGAUGAACAGGGUUCCGGCAUUAAAGUUUACCGAGUCGCAAAAAUUAUAUGAUCAACCAAAUGAGACAUGCUCGGUUCCUAAAACAAAUAUAUGAGAUGAAAAGCUGAAAAUAGGUCACCAAAAUAAAUAAAUUCAGAAGAUAGCAAACAUAUGAUACCUCCUGAAGACAUAUAAUAUCAGCAUGAUAACCAAUAAUUUCGCGCAUCAAAUUUUGUCUUCUGUAAGUCCAUGAAAGUGCCCACGUUGGGCAGUAGCUAUAUGCAUCAGAUGUAGCAUAUGCAUCAGCAAGAAUAUUAUAGGACAGCACCGUGAAUGUCCCAAAAGAAGAAGUCUGGCUGUCUAUAUCUGAGUGACCCAAAACAUCUCCAUUCACUUGGAUAAGGCGGCGUGGAGUAGGAGUUGGUGCUGGAAUCACACGUGAUGUCAUAAUUGAAGUUGGAGACCCCGCAGGUACUUUCUUUUCCGUAUCCACCGCUGCACAUUCAAAUCUUAGAACAUGCCCAAUAUCAUCAGCAGUUGGUGUAUACGUCUGCGAGCGUCCCACUUCAAACCAUGUUUCACCCGAGUUCUUAUCAGUGCCUGAGGGAUACAAGGGAACAGGUCCAUUAUUAACUCCAGGGCUCUGUCCAAGAUUUGACAUUGAGCCAGACCCAGAACUUAGAAUCCCAGAACUACCGCUGCCAAAUCUACCAAAUAGCUCCUCCUCUUCAGCUCCAUUUUCAUUUAAAGCACUACUAGCUCGCUCAUGCAAAACCCUGUGGUGCUGCCAUGCAUCAGAGAAGCACUUAGCAGAACAAUGGUAGCUCUUAGCAGCAGGUAUUUUUGACUUGAGACAACCUAAGCACUGAAUUGUUGCUUGCUCCAUCGGAUGUACACUGCAGAUAGUAACUUUUCGAUCACUCUGUAUGCGAUACCUUCGAGCGAAAAGUCAAAUCAGUAUAACCAUGUGCUACUAGAUACAGAAAAAGUUUAGAAGAACAUGAUUGAAUAUAGUAACUACAAGAAAGGACACCUAAAUUGCCAAUGUUUUAGCAUGUAUGAGAUCCAGGAAAACUUGCUAUCAGCAUCUUGGAAGUCCAUUAUUCAGAGACAUUAGACUCACAACACUUCCAUUAUAAGCAUAGUAUGAAUAAGGCAAAAUGAAGCAGGUUGCCAAGAUGUCGCAAAAAAAAAGAAGCAAAUUACAAGUUUGCUUGUCAUGAGUUGCUGCUGCUGUUGUUUUUUCUUGAUUUUAGUCCCUCAACCGGCUAACUCGUGAUCAUUCAUCUCUUGCUUUCUUUACCAGAUCAACCAUGCAACUGAUUUCUUUAGCGGACCAGGCAAUAUAUGUAAUAAGCAAAAUUCUACAGUUUAGAUCAGAGAUUCAGAGGACUAUUGCAGGCUCUCAUAUAUCAUCAUUAGGGCAUGACGACCAGACAAGGAAGUUGCUGUGUAUAUUAUUAUUCCUAGAAGAAAAACAUUUAAGUACUGUUCAAGGAGGCGACCAACUAUAGCCCAGUGCCCACCCCAUCAAUCGAUUAGUGUCUUUCAGAACACUUCAUUUCAACAAUGUGUCUAUAAAUGGCCACACUUACUAUACUCAAACCUCAAACCUUAAAAGUGAAUAAAGAUGCACAUAUCACAUGAGAUUCUAUCAAGCUAAUGACUGAAAAGCAACACAAUGAAAAUAUAAAAAACUAUAGAAUUGAAGGACCAAAACCAAUGAAACUGCAUGAGUGUUAGUGGGACCAAGCACCACCAUUUCGAAAAGUUCUAAGGUCUAAAGUCUCAGCAAUAAAUGCUAUUUAAACCUACAUGACAUUAAAAAAACGGAUGUGAUAAAACAAAUAAAUAUUCACGAACAUGAUCAAUCAUUCAGAGCGGGAUUCUAAAAUUGAUCACUGAAAUUGUUCGGCCACCCAGCUAUUAGUGAUUAUACAGCCGAGCUAGCUCAUUGCAGUGGGUGGCAUAACCAGCGGUUACAAGUUCUUUUCUCUCAUAUUUGCCUCUCCAUUUUUCAUUUUUUUAUUUCCAAAUAGAUCUACAAUGUUAUUUGAAUUUUAAAAAUAAUAGGUAGGGCACUCCUUACAUACAUGACCUCCUAGGCCAUUUAAAACAAAUAUGCAUUGUUUGGGGUUUUUUAUAUAACAUAAAGUAAGUUAACUAUGACACACUGCCAAAAUAUUUUUGCAUAAAAAACAUUAAAUUUGAUAUAGCACAGAAAGAACGUGGAUAUCCAGCAAGAGAUUAAAGAAGGCAAAGUGGGGCAGGCAGUCAGCAAAACAAAACUAGUGGAUCACGAGUUUCAAACUUUUACUAGCUUUAAGCAACUGAAAUAACUUGCCACUGAACCUAGUGAGCCAACAACUCUAACGUGUAAUAGCAAACAAGUAAUAAUUCUUUUGAAGCUCCAGAAUAAUCAAAACUGAGUCUAGAAUCAAGCUAGAAUGCCCAUUUGAGUUCACUGGUGAUGUUAGAGUGAUACUUAGUUCAAGGAGUAUAUCCAGAUACCCCAAUCAAAAAAAUCAUCUGAAGCCAUGCGAACAAACUGAUGGCACUUCUAGAAUAGUGUCUUUCCACAAAAUUAGUUAGAUAAGCCUAUGUAAUCCCAAAAUUUAUAAAAUGCUCCCGUUCCAUCCAAGAUGAACGUAAACAUUCCUGCACAACGAUUGGCAACAAUCCUCAACCCAACAGCCUUCAUCACCAUCCUAUGAUGCUAUCUAACACUCAAUAGUUCUAGCAAAACCAAAAUCAGAUGGUCUGUUUUGCUCAAUGAAUUACUUAUUAUCAUUACCAACCCGUGUGGCAGGUUGAUAUGGCAUAGACUAAAUAGUAUGAUUCAUAAACAGGCUUAAAAUAAUGCAAUACUGAGUUCUUUACCAAAUCAAGCAUUGGCAUUUCAUGUUCCCUGGGUUUCCAUUCGUUCCAAAAACAAACAACUGUCUUGCUAGAGAAAAUCAUGCUCAGAAUUCAUAUAGUUGUGCUUCAUUUAUGCAAGAAUCAAGACGAUUCAUGAGUUUAGCAAGUAGUUAAGCAUCUAGCAAACUGAUUGAUACUUAAAGCCCCCAUUUUCUUUUUUUCUUUUUUGUCAAAAUUCACUUGUAGCAACGCACAAGCGGAACUAAGCAUUCGAAAGUGUAUAUCCUAUUGAACCAAAAGUUGCAAUCACGAGCUGCUCACUCACCAUCUGUAUCGCAUGAAGUGGCCAUCAACAGGCGCGGCCUCAGGCACGUCGUCGGUGGAGAUUACACCGUUGGGCAGCCGCAGCAGCACGUACGGGGUGAUUUCGCACCCCACGAUCGGGAUCUCCGACGGCAGGUGCACCCGCACCACGCUCAGCAUCCUCCACUCCUGCUCCCCUCCCCUGCUCUCCUCUGCCCAGCCCAGGGGCGGAUCUAGAUGGUGUGCCGGGUGGGCACCGGCACACCCAAAAUUUGUGGACGCUGCGAGGACGGCGGAAGGCCAGGGCGACGUCGGGAGAGGAGGGGAGCGCCGCCGUCAAGGGGACCGGGAGAGCGAGACAGGGUUAGGGUUGGUUGCCUGAGGGUAUUUUUGGGCAUUUCGAAAAUCUAGAGUUGUGUCCAGCGCAUUUUUUUUCUAAACUAGUAUUGCGUAAGCGGGACGGAGUGGUAAUGUUUGUGCAAGACAAGAGAGAGCCGGAGAGGAUGACAUGUUUUUUUUAACGAUAAUAUUAAAAACUAGUCAAAUGUCCAUGGGACAAACUCAUAUGCGAUACUCACCGCAUUUGUAGUUAUAGAUUAAUACCUUUUCAUAGCAGUUUGCAGAGAUGGAACCAUGAAAGGCGUUGCAGACGUAUAAUUCACUCGCUAAAAAAUCCAUAUUGAGAAAAUAAUUAUGUACUUGAUAGACUCGGUCUCACGAAGUUCUGGUAAGAAGCCGGUUCGGAGGGACAAAGUUCCAGAAAGAUGGCCGCAAUGUCACGCACGACCAGGCGAAUUUGUGAUAGUUUUUUUGUUAUGAAAAAGCAAAGUAUAUGUGAUCGGCAUGCGACCUUGUGGAUUGGGGUUGAAAGUGUUGGACUGCAGUGUAUACCUUCAACCCACCACGUCUUGAUUUAAAGGCCAAAUCAACGUAGGAUUCGGACUCCUUAACUAAAUACGAUUAGGAUUCCCUAUCUAUGUCGGAUUUGGUCUCCUAUUCUGUGAUUGGCAAUUGGGAAUUUAGACAUUAAUCCAUAGCUUCUCCAACUCUUUAGUGAUUGAACGUAACGGUUGGUACAAGCUAGGCUGGGCGCGAUGGGCUGAGGCUGAGGCAAACCAACCAUGGACCUCGUACCGUUUAGAUUGAAAAAAGGACAUGUUUUUUUUUGUUUAUCGAUCAGGACGGACAGGCGCACGCACGAGGGUGAGUUGGAGGUUCAGAUCGGUUGGGCUUAGUGGAAGUUUUAAUGAAAAAGGCCUACGGACGUUCGCCAUCACCACCGAUUGUAAUAUAAUAGACAUUGUAGAUUAGUUAUGAUUUGGACCACCGGGCACCGGAACCCAAGCUGCUCAAUUUUGGCAAAAUUUGCAGAAAGCAAACUCAAACCCGAUGGCUCCUAUGUAGAUGGGAGUGAACUCAGAGUAUUCUCAUCGUGUUGCUACAAAGCUUUUCUUUGAUGAUGUUCCCUCCGUUGUGUUUCCCUUGCGUGCUCAAGGACACAAUGUUGUGAUUGAGGAAAUUGUUGAUGACCCUAGCUCUGCCAUCUUCCGUCCGUAAGUGAGGGCACAAGCAGCGCGUUGCUACUCCAGAAGUAACUUCAGGUCUGUGCCAUAGUUCAUGCUCUACCAUGUUUAGAGGAUUCAAGUCCUAGCUUGUUUCUGAUGUGCAGAAGAAACAGUCCAAGUGUCGAUGUUAUACAUUGUCAGAAUAUGAUUCGGGAUAGCACACGACCAAGGAUUACUACUACUCUUGAUGGCAACAGUCUACGUGUUUAUCAUUUGUUGGAACUCCAAGCACAAAGUGAUGUAACAAAGGGUGUUUUCCCCCACAAGUGUUUUACCCCCAACAAGCACCACAAUGGUUGUCAAUCACAAUGAUCACUAUACAGAAUCACUUAUUUCUGACGCGUUAAAAAACUUCUAGUCUGACGCAAAUGGGACGUGUCACUAAUCAAGUGUCAAAGAUGACUCGGGAACUUCUGACGUGUCAACAAGCGUCAGAAGUAGGAAACCCUAAUGACGCUUCUUGUCGAUUGUUAUUAGAGACAAGUAUCCUCAUGUCGGGUGAAGGCCAUGUUUGUUUGAGCUUCUGCUUCAGCUUUUGGUGGUUCUAGCUCUCUAAAAAGCACUGCUUCCGUUUACACAUGAAGCUGAGAAGCACGUCGUGAGGUGCUUCCCUCCAGAAGCUGCAGGAAGCACCUCCAGACGUGCUUCUCAGCUUCAUGUGUAAACGGGAGAAAUGCUUUUUAGAGGGCUAGAAGCAGCAAAAGCUGAAGAAAAAGAAAAAGCCCAAACAAACAGGGCCGAAGAUGAGUAAGAAGAUAGAGGGGCCUCACGGUGAUAUCUACUCGUGUAAGAUAGAGAACUCGGCGAAAGACAAGGGUUUAUACCGGUUUGACUUGCUCCUUUUCGUGAAAGCAAGCCUACGUCAUGUUGGUAAUCUAAUAUUUGUGUAUGAUAUUACAAGGUGUGUUCUGCCCAUCGAGGGCGCCUAGCCCGCUUUAUAUAGUCAAACAACUAGGGUUUCGGGUAGAGCCGGGUACAACUUUUACAUGGACUGUACCUUCCUAAACUAGUUAGGAUUCUUCCUUUACAAGAUAUCUACAACUAGUAUUUCCUAUUACCUGAACUAGGCUUCCUUCUUCAAUACGACAACUUCCUUGACCGAGUGAUAGGGGAUGUCUGGCUUGUGCGCUGAGUCGACUUUCUCUGUUCAGUCGUCUCUCAGCUACCCGGCUAGAAUAUCCUCGUCAUUAGCCCCGAGUACAAUGUGGAUAGGGGGGAGCUGAAUAAUGCCAUCGUCGUCAAUCUCGAAUCUUUCUCGUUUCAUGUGCUUUUCUUGAGUUGCUUCUUCUUGAUUUUAUUCCGACCUCAAAUCCACAAUGUACUUCUCUAUGACAGCUUGAGGUUCGAGCUCAUGGCUUCUUAUGCAUAAAGUUCAGCUAUAAGAGCAAACCAGCUUCUAUGUGGCAUGUGUUAGCAUUGCAGCGAUAUUAGCUCCUGUUUUGAUUUGUGUUUUUUCCUUAGCUGUAGCGUUGCUUUGAAUUAAUUAGCAACUACGUCGUGCAUGUAAAAAAAAGUGAGUUCCAACAAAUCUCUGACGUGCGCUAGAACAAGAGGUCAGUGAGCAUCAAAAGUAUACUGACGUGGCGACACAAGGAAGAGCUAGGAAAUUCCUCGUGAACAAAGUUGACGCUUCCACAAAGGAAAGAGUCACAUCAGCUAGAAUCUCCUUCGACGCUUACGAAGUAAGGAAGCGUCAGUAGAAAUGAAGAGUCAGAAGUGUGGAAGUUCUCCUACGCUUCUCCGAGGUAGGUGUCAGAAAUAUCUUAUUGACGCUGCCUCGUGGAUGCUACCUAUGACAGUCCUUAUAAGGAGCCGCAGAGAUAAGGAUUUGCGCUGACGCUUUUUAGUUUUGUGUCAGUGGGGAGCUUGCAAGAGUAAAGUCUAUAGUAGUGAGUGUAAGGCUAAACUUUAAAUAAACAAAUAAUAACUUUAAGUAAACUAAUGCAAAACAAUAAUUUAAACUAACUAGAAGAUGCAAUAACUAUAUAAUAAAUACUACUACUUAUUAUGCAACUAAAUAACCAAGAGAGAAUGUUUAAAUGGCUUUUUACAAGAUAUCUAAAAAAAAGCAAUUAAAUAAAUGCAAAAUAAUUGUAACAGAGGUGUUUCUUAUGAUAUUAAAGAGGACCAGGAUACUCUUUGCGGCAUGAAUAUAGCACAUAGGACAAGUUCAUUUACUUUGCAAUGUUUUUAUGAAGUGAAUGAUAAGCAUUCAUAUGGACAUCACGUCCUAAUAUUGAGAAUAUGCAAAAUAUCUCACUAAUGCUCCCUUGGUAAGUGACUCAUCAAACUAGAUUAUUGCUUUAGGUACUUUGACAUGAUGUUGAACUUUAAUGCAACUUUGAGCAAGCAAGACCACCAUUGUUGUCAUUUGGUAGCAUAAUGCGUAUUCAUUUAUCCCUAGCGGGUCAAAUCACUGAAAGGUGAAAAUCAUAGUGGUUCCCAAAAUUUUUGUCACUAUCCGGUUGCCACUACCAAUUGCUCUAUCUAAUACACACAUCCCCACACAUGCACAUGUAAACUAGUAUGAUUAGUACAAGUAAGCAAGAAGGGAUAGACAUAUGCAUCUAUCAAUACAUCAAAACACAAUCCAAACAUUGCAAACUCAUGACUCAUCUCAUAACAAAAGGUUCACCAAUAAAAAAUAUAACGAUGAUCAUAAUCAUGAUAGGAAACUCGUAUGAUUCUAUUACAACCCAUAGCCCAGCGAGGACUACUCCCUCAUCAUAUUGGUGAUGAUAGAGAAUAUGUUCAAGGAGAAGGAGAGGCGACCGAUGGUAUUUUCCCUUCUAAUCUUGGAUCAAUCUGAUGUUGUUUUUUUUCUUUCCGAGUCGUUGUGCUAUGCAAGCGCAAAGCACGGGGUAUUAAUAAAUGGUUUUAGGUCAAGACGAAUCUUCGGGUGAAAGAAUGCACUUGCGGGCGGCCACUCGGGAUAAAAAACAACCAUGGUGAAUUAUGAUAAUCUAGUUUUUUCGACUACUACCUCUGAUCCUAAAUUGUUGUCGUGGUUUUACUUCAAAUUUGUACUAAAACCACGACAAGAAUUAAGGAUCCGAGAGGUAGUUUUUACCUAUUUUUCAAUUCGGCUUACCUAUUAUUUUCUAAUUUUCUUUGUAUGUUUUGACAAAUUCAGCACACUUCAGCAACCCAAACUGAACAUUAGUCCCGUACAGGAUUCCAGAGUGCGUUGUACGCAUGUGUUAGUAUAUUCCUAAGCAAGCAAGAAAAAAAUAAAAAGAAGCAAAUAGUAGCAACUAUCGGUUGAUCCCGGCCCUGGGCCAGGACAAGAAGGGCGACAGCCCGGGCCCGCCCAAUCCAGGGGACCAGAUCAUAUGUGUAUACGCUAGUAGAGAUACAUGUCCAAAUAUUGAUUAGCAUAAAAGAAAGAGGAAAAAAGCUAGAGGCCCAGCAGAUUGCUCCGCUCCUGGCCAACCCAGGACGUAUCAACGUGCUCGAAAAUUCCCCUUGGCACCCGGUAUCCAGGCCUAUGUGUAUCUCAGCCGACCAAUUUUCCAUCCUACGGCUCCAUCCUGCAGCUCCUGUCGUCCGGCCCGUUUAAGUAUACAAUUUGCUAUUCUCCCGUACAGGCGGUAUUUGCACCGGUUGGCCUGACACAUCCUUUUUUAUAUUGCGUUUCCCAGGCUGGCUGGCCCAAGUCCCACCUCGCGCAUUGCUGGGUGAGCACAAGUCCUUUUCUCCCGCUGCAUACCGUGGCACAGGUCUGCCCUUGAGACAUCGCAUUAAAUUUCCAUCAGUCCCAUUUUUUUGGCCCAAGAUUUCUGGGCAGGCACAGGUCCACGCCAUUGGGGGGGCGGUGGCGCGGCUGGCGAGGCCGACGUCGCGGCUGUCGAGGGUGCCUGCCACGGGCGAUGAGUCACCGAGUCAGGCUUCGGUGCCCAGAGCUGAAAAGCGUGCCGCGGUAGACGAUGUUGGGCGCCUUAAUGCCGUGCUCGGACACGAUUCGGUCGGGGACGAAGCUGUCAGUUCCCGCGCAUAGCUCAUCAAGGCUGUACUCUGUGAUCAUCGGCACAGCACUGUCGUCUUCCCCAGUUUCCCCAUUCUCUAUUUCUCUACACAGGGAAAGCAAACAGCAAGGGGAAGAGCAUCCAUCCUGUAAAGCAACGAGCUGCCGGCGAUGGCCUUCUCCACGACCGCGGAGCAACGCAGCGCCGUCCCCGUGCCUUCGCUGGAUGCCCGCUCGCAGCUCCGUGAUGGACCGCUUCCGCACGAGCACCGCCCGCCCGAACGGGUCGUGCGCGUCGGCAAGCGCGAGGGCCGAGGGACACGUUGAGGUGGCCAAAGGCCGGGUCGCUAGGGAAGAACUCCGAGCUGCAGACCGGGGGCGCGGGGCAGGGACGGAUGUUCGGGCAUCGGCCGGACCUCCUCCGUUGGCAGCUUCCGCAGGCGAGGAAAACUUGAGGGGCAACGGCAGAUAUUUGGGAUUUGACGUGGGUAUUGGUGCUCCGAUCUUUCCAUCAGAUUGAUAACUCUCGAUUUGGGUUGAAGAUGACGUUUGACGAUCCGACUACGGUCUAAAAGACAGCGCCUUAGUAAUCAAUACACCAACUACAGAGAGUUAUUGAUCACGCGGGGCACGAUCAACCUGACCACGAAGGUUUUUAUUCCUGCAAGCAAUCGAAAAACAAGCAAGACCAAGAUAAAUAGUGGAUGCAAUCUGAAAUUGCGAAUAUACUAUAUCAAACCAAUGUCUCAAUGAGACGAUAAGUUGGGAUUUCGAAAGUGGUAAAGCAGGUGGUCUAGCCGACAUAGACGAUUACACGAAGUUGUAGCGAUGGCUAACUUUUAACUAAACAAAACCCAAGUCUCCAUAGGGAGGCUAGUGGGGUAUAUAAAAGAGGAGGGAGAGAGAUUUUCGCCCACCUUGAGUAAGGAGGCCGAAAUCCAAAUCUAUUUCUAACUUUUCUAACAAACUAUAACUCUUUAGGAAACAAAAAAACAGAUCCGUCAUCUUGUUUUGUCUGCCACGGCCAGCACGCGUCGAAUCUCCUUGUGGGGUCAAAUCUGUUGGAAAGGUCUUGUAAUUACCUUUCCAACAAGUACUUGUUUGCUUGAUUUGGACUCUGAAUGCGGUCUGGGUGAUUAAAACAAAUUCGGAUCUCCUGACAGCUCGGACCCGAAUCGGAUUCAACUUUAAUUCGUGAUAUCUUUCACUAGCAAGCUCCGAACCAUGUGCCGUUCGAUUUGUUGGAAAGUAGACUUGAUAGGCUUCACCUUGCAUCUCCCGUUGCAUGCUAUCGCACCUCAUCUUCACUUUGGAUUUGAAAAGCUCGACCAAAUAUCUACAUAAUAAAAUGAUACAAGAUAGUAGCUCUGCCUCUUCAUGCAUAUGGCAUUGAAAACAAAUAGUACUUGACUUCACCUGAUUAUAAAAUGUUAUCGAAUACUCUAGAACUGAGGGUGCCAAAGGUUGUAUCUAUGGUUAGCAUGUCCAUAUCAUCUUCCCUUUCUUGAAACAAAAGCCGUCCUCGGUGUCGUUUGUGCUGAAAAGAGACUGACAAAACAGACAAAGUGUGUGCAUGGGUAUAUGUACAUGUCAUCCAUCUUUAUACAUCUCCUUUCUUGCACAAUUAAUGUUUUAUAAAAAAAUCUCAUGAGAUAAGUAGUCAAACAAUCAUCAUGAAUUACAUUCCAGCAAGAAGAUUGACAAUAUGUUUUGCAUAUAUAAGUGAAACAAUAUCUUAUACUAGUAAAAAGCCCGUGCUUUGCUACGGAAGAAGACUUUCUUUUAAAAACAUGCUAUAGGUUAAUUUUCAAAUAGUCGGCUGACUUGGGCUUGCGGGGCUGCGGCUUGGGCUGAAAGGUGGAGAUGGGGUUGGUGGGCCUGAAGGGGGCUCGGGGUUGCUGGGUUGCUGUGGGAUCGAGGCAGCGGGGAGGUUGAAGGCACGGGAGCAAGGGGAGGCAGUGCCGGCGAGGUGGACGAUGGGAGCAGCACGCGAGGGUGCUGGGCUGCCACGGUGACUGGAGCUUGGCGACAACGUUGGCGGAUUGCAGCAGCGAGGGAGAGGAGAAGAGGGCGCAACGAGUAAUGAAGGCAGGAGCGCCAGAGAGAGGAGGCGGCUAGACAGAGGAGAUCGGGAGGGAGAAAGGAGCUCGAGGGGAAAGAUGAAGGAGCAUAGGGGAUAUCGGGGAGGACCGGCUGCCUGGUUGGGUGGACGGGCAGGACAAGAAAAGGGGACGAGAGCGAGAGGGAUAGGGUUCGAGGAAGCCCGCAGAGGUUAGGGCUCGGGGGUCAGACGGAUGUUUUUCGGGACUGGGGAUAUGCAGUGGCAUAUUGAGCGUAAUUUUAAUGGAGUGACGUACCGCGACACCUGUACCAUCACCACCAACUCCAAUUUAAUAUAUUUGUAUAGAUUUAGUUUGCACCGCUCACCAUUAUACCAUCCCAACACUGGAGAAUAAUAAUUAAUGGUACCCAAAUUAGUUACUACAAGAUGCUGAAAUUUAGAGCAAGUCAAAGCAGUAAUAUUCAAACAAUCGUGUAAACAACUAUUUGGCAAAUAAUCAACACCAAUAUUGGAGAUCAUAUCAAAAUAGUUAAGCAUAUGCAAGAAUUUAUUUUCUCCCAAGAUAGUAAAAUUAUCACAAGUAAUACAAAUUUCAUGUACCAAAAAGUUAUUAUUCACAUCAUGUUCUCCAAUUAGUUGAAUAGUGGAUCCAUGAACAUUAGGAAAAGAUUUUGAAAUUGUUAACUUGGACACUUUUUCCAUUGCAUAUGAUAAAUACAUAUGUGUAUCAAGUGUAAUAUAACACAAAGAAUUAAUAGGUGGAUCCUUAUGAAUCACUCCAUGUCUAAUUAACUCGACACAACCUAAGCCAAAUUUAUCUAUCUCACAUGUUUCUCCCAAAGCAUUAGUUCUGUCCUGACAUGAUUCAUGCUCAUCAAUAUCAAAAUUAAUAUGUGCACUAAAAUCAUUAGAAAAAUUAAUUUCAGCACUAGGUGUACUCAAAUCAGCAUGUAAAUCAACAAUUUCACAUGGUGCAGAAAAUUCACCGAGUAUCUCAUUUAUUUCAUCACAUGUCAUAUUUAGUUCAGGAACACAAUCAUCUUUACCAUUACCUUGUGGUCUCGACUCAUUUGUAGUAGACCUUCACUGUAAUUUCCUCUCAACUUCACGAGCAAGAUUAAGCAAACACAAAAAAGAGUCGUAUUUUCCAUAUUCAAUUAUGUAAGAAAUAUCAAAGUUAAGCCCACAAUAAAACCUAUCCAUUUUUGUUUGUUCGGUUUCAUCUAAACCAGAUCGCAAGGUUAGAAUUUGGAACUCCUGAUAGUAAUCAUCAACAGUUUUAUCAUCUUGUUUCAAACGUCGUACUUUUGCACGCAAGUUACAAGCAUAACUAAAAGGGACAUAUUUUUCUCUCAUGAUUUUCUUCAUAUCAACCCAAGUGUGAGGAAUUUUCUUUUCUCUAACUAUCUCACUCCACCAAGAUAAAGCAGCAAAAGUAAAUUUACUACUAGCAAUUUGGAACUUGCGACUAUCAAGUACAUGGAAGCAUGUGAAUUGUUCAGUUAAAGCUAUCUCCCAAUCUAUAUACGUUUCAGCAUCAUUUUCCCCCUUAAAGAAAGGUACACACAAUUUAAUUGUAUUGGAAGGAUUGUUUCGUACCGUUGCCGUCGCAUUGUCAACAAAAGACGUGGAGGAUGGCCAUGGUGAAAAGCACUCAUCGCGGUCACGGGAUUGCAUCGGUCUAGUUCCCAUGCUUCGUGUAAGUCCUGUCAUUGUUAGUAGAAAACAAGAAACAAAUCACAGUAAUAUGUUCCUAUCAACUAAUAGGAUGUGGCUACAAGUCGUUCAACUCUCAAGCUAAAAAUCAAGUUCUUACAAGUUCUUACCAUGCAACAAGAAGGUGAUGGCCAGCGGCUUGACCAAGCCCCUCCGAGGAUUAAAUGUAUCAAUGCCUCGGUAACAAACCAACCUAGGUGUAGAAUCUGUGUAGCUUGGAAGCUUUUGUGAGUAGCAAGGAAUAGCAAAUAAUCAAACAGCAAUGCAAAGUUGAAAAUAUGCUAAAUAAUGCUAGUCCUAACUGCUGGAGUCGAUAAUAACGAAUUACAGAAAUAAUCUAAGCCUAGAUAGUGAAGAAGGUAGGAUAGAAAGAUCAAAAUAAAGGUAAAACAACUAAAUCUCUAGGAUUUUUCUUUUCUUUUAUUUAUUUAUUUAUUUAUUUUUGUGGCCUUCUGUUUGGCUUCUUAUUCUUUUCUUCUUUUUUUAUUUUUUUAAUCCCAGAAACUCAUGCAAAAGAAGUAAAGACCGGAAAACUGCACGUCGGUCUGUCGAAGAACAGCAAAGGGUGCUGUAAGAAAAUGUCAGAAAAAUAUGGAAAAAUAUAGGUUAGGAGCGUAUCGAAACAAGCUUUCCAGGAAGUGCAAGAUCACUCAAAUCGGAGGCCGGACGAUGGAGAUAACGUAAAAACACCGGCCUGCAGCGAUGCCGGAAACCGGAUGCAGAAACUUGGAAGCUCUGAAAGUCCACCUUACAAACCGAGUUUGAGGGUCAAGGAGUCAGUGCGAUGCCCUGGAUAUUUUCUCGUGCGCUUCGUCAUGAGCUUUCCAGAAAGUACUAGAAGGUCCAAAUCUGAGUUGGUGACCGUUUUACUGAACACGGGUCAAACCCACUCGAAACUAUAAUUCUCCUGAACGUGGAUCUGAAACUGAUUCUUUUUCUCUCUCUUUUUUUUCAUUUUUUUUCCUUUUUUUUCCUUCCUUUUCUUUGCUUUUUUUUCACAACUUUCCGAACAACUUGAUCUCUAAACAAAAUUCGAUCUAUUAUGAAACACUUUCCAAAAGCACUCUCGAUUGGACUCGGACUCGAACCCGGAGAAGGACUCGGUGUAUGACUCGAUGGAAGAUUAUGGCGUGGCGGUGGUGUGGCAGGGAGUUUGGCGGCAGAAAAUUGAGGAAGGAAACCUGCGUCACACGAAGAACAAGAAAACCAAAAGCAAGUUCGAUCUAGUAGAAAAAGUCUGAAAAACGAUCCAAUCUAAUCCAGCAACUCGACACGAUUAAUGCAGCAAAGGUUCAACAAUGCAAAUACUAAUGUGAAAAUUGCAAGGCUCAGAUUGGUUUUUGGGACGAAGGUAAGUAAUCUCUACUUUUUUAUUGUCUUUUUCUGGACUAUAGGUAAAACAUAUCUAAACUAUGGAAAAAUACCACGUGAUGUGGGUCGGGGUGGCCCGAUAUUUCGAUGAGAUUGAUAACUCUCGAUUUGGGUAGGAGGUGACGUUGACGAUCCGACUACGGCCUUGAAAGCAGCGUCUUAGCAAUCGAUACACCAACUCCAGAGGGUUAUUGAUCACGCGGGGGCACGAUCAACCUGACCACAAAGGUCUUUGUUCCUACAAGCAAACGAAGAACAAGCAAGAACAAGAUAAAUAUCGGAUGCAAUCUGAAAUUGCGAAUAUACUAUAUCAAACCAAUGUCUCAACGAGACGAUAAGUUGGGGUUCCGAAAGCGGUAAAGCAGGUGGUCUAGCCGACACACGCGAUUACACGAAGUUGUAGCGAUGGCUAACUUUUAACUAAACAAACCCAAGUCUUCAUAGGGGGGCUAGUGGGGUAUAUAAAGGAGGAGGGAGAGAGAUUUUCGUCCACCUUGAGUAAGGAGGCCGAAAUCCAACUGUAUCUCUAACUUUCCUAACAAACUACAACUCUUUAGGAAACGGAAAAACAGAUCCGUCAGCUUGUUUUGUCCGCCACGGCCAGCACGCGUCGAAUCUCUUGUGGGGCCAGAUCUUUUGGAAAGUUCUUGUAAUUACCUUUCCAACAAGUACUUGUUUGCUUGAUUUGAACUCCGAAUGCGGCCUGGGUUAUUAAAACAAAUUCGGGUCUCCUGACAGCUCGGACCCGAAUCGGAUUCAACUUUAAUUCGUGAUAUCUUUCUCUAGCAAGGUCCGAAUCAUGUGCUGUUCGAUUUGUUGGAAAGUAGACUUGAUAGGCUUCACCUUGCAUCUCCCGUUGCAUGCUAUCGCACCUCAUCUUCACUUUGGACUGGAAAAGCUCGAUCAAAUACUUACAUAAUAAAAUGAUACAAGAUAGUAGCUUUGCCUCUUCAUGCAUAUGACAUUGGAAACAAAUAGUACUUGACUUCACCUGAUUAUAAAUAUUAUCGAAUACUCUAGAAUUGAGGGUGCCAAAGGUCGUAUCCAUGGUUAGCAUGUACAUACCAGGCUUGCAGUACGAUGCCCGGAGCUGGGGGAGAUGGCGCUGCACAUGUCGUAUCUGAAGGAGGCGGCGAUUGAGGUGAAGAAGACGGUGGGGGAUGAGACGGUGACAGAUGGGGAAGAGAGGUAGAUGAGGGCGAUGAAGGGAAUAUGCCCUAGAGGCAAUAAUAUUGUAUUAUUAUAUUCCCAAGUUUGUAAUUGAUGUUUAUAUUUCUAUGCUAUAAUUGCAAUGGUUCUUGAACGUGAGAUUCGGAGGAAAACUCAUUUGCAUGUGUGGAAACAUAAACCCUAAUUUAAAGGUCCCUAGUCACGCCUCUUUGACUAGCUUAUAUAUAAUUGAUGAUUCUGUUUUCCUGAUCAUGAGCAUACGAUGCUGGUUAUAUAUGAGAGCACAUUGUUGGUUGAACAAUGGUGUUGGAUUGACCCAACUAAUGAUAUACCGAGAGAUCACAUCGAUUACUUGUUAUCGGUAUUAUUGUUAUUGUUGUAAUUAUCAUUAUCCUUAGACCAUGAAAAUAUCGUAUGAUAUUUAUAUCGGAAGGAUAAUUUGGGUGUUACUUAUUGUUUCCCGUAAUAGGGUUAUCAUGACGGUGAUUUCCGGGUACUCCGGAAAGUACGAAUUGAUUCGAUAGUUCAAGAUUGGGAUUUGCUCCUCUAUCGGUGGAGAGAUACACUAGGGCCCACUCGGUACGAAGAUAUCUAUCACCGUCUGGCCAGACACAAGAAUGAUAUGAUCAUUGAGAUAUCGGAGUACGGAAUGAGUUAAAAGUACAAAACCGGUAACGGGGAUAGCUAGGUACAAGUGGAACAAGGGUUGGUUCACGGGCGUACCGGAAGUCUCACCCCGGGUUUUGUAAACGUAUCGUGAAGCAAAGGGAAAUGGUUUUUAGUAACAAAUGGUUCACUUGAAAGUCUUCGUGUAUGUGUAGUAAUUAUUGAGAGUGUCCAGGCUCUUUAAAUAAUUAUUGACUGGGUCAUAGCUACACAUUUCCCAACCUAGGCGGUCAGACGCUUAACGACGAAUGGUUAUUUGAAGGUCUAAAGUUUGGAAUUUGGUCAAGAGUUGAAUACUGAAGUUGUUCAGAAUGACGAGACAUAUUUUAUGGAGGUCCUAAAUGUGAUUUAGGAGUUACAGAAAUAUUCGGAGUAAUCAUGAGUGCUUCCGGAAGGUUUUAGAAGCCUCUAGAAGGAUCCGAUGGAAAUUCCGGAAGGUCAAAUGGCAAAAGGUCAAAAGUCAAAGGUGGGUCAAACCCUGGUCAAAGGUUGACCAUGGGGGCCAGCCAUCUUGGUUUGGAGAAGGGGUUAUAAGACUCCUAUUAGGAGUUCAUAUCUAUUCCUAUUAGAGGUAGGCGUGCUACUCUUUUUGGAGGAGGACUCUUUUCGUCCUUUGGCCGGACGCCCUCCUAUAUAAGGAGGGGAGGGGUGGCCGGUUAUAGGGGCACUCUCGCUAGUUGUCCUUUGCCCGUCAAGUUCGAGCUCUCUCAUCUAAAGUUUAGACGUCUAAUUAGUAAAUCGUCUACUUUCCGAUCUAGUUUCUUCCAGCGGUUCUUCGUACUGGACGUGAAAGUGCUGCUGAACUAUUCCUCCGGGACGUGUGGAUACGUGUGGAGAGAUCGCCCACUUCGAUCUUGCAGGCGGAUCGCUGUUCGUCUACUUCAAGCUUUCAGGCGCAGCAGAUCGUGCGAGGAAUAUUCUCACGGCUGGGCGGUAUAACCUAACUGCGGGAAUCUGCUACAGGCUUCAACGACAAUCUAUUUCCGCUAUGGUUUUUUGGUAGAUGAUCAAUCUAUCGCAUCCGCAUAGUGAUCUUGAUUGGUUCGUUCGUAGGAAAAUUUUAAUUUUCUGCCUACGUUCCCUUUCAGGCGAAUGGAGGCGGUGGAGGGACCCGAGACGUGGGGUGGGCGGCCUGCUGUGCGUAUUUUAUUUAUUUUCUUUACUACUACUACUACUUAAGCCACAGUUAUGUCCGUGGUUUACCGUAAGUCCUCCCACCCCCCACAGAAAAAAAAGUCCUGAAAAAAUCCGGUCCCCCCACCCCUUCUGAGGAAACAUUCGCCCAGAAGGAAAUAUUCAAUCAACCAUCAAUUGAUUGAGUUCAAAAGAUGACCCAACGCAUUAGGCAACUCUUGGAGAGAUUUCAGGAGAGUAUGGAAAGAUUGUUAGGAGUUGGCCGAGUUGUGGGAGUGAUUUCAGGAAAGGACAUCUUGGUUAGUUGCACGUAUAGCGUGAGUUUAGGGGCUAACGGUCUGAGAUUGGCUGUUAUUUAUGGCAUGCUUUGUAAUCUUGUUUUUGGAAACAGAAAGAGGAAUAGGAAAGGAGAAAAUCUCGGGCUGUGAGAGGCAGCCUCGAGGCCCAAACCUUGCCUUCCUUAUGUUCGUGGUGUUGCCAAGAAAAGAGAUAUCGUGAGAGAGGGAGCUGCAGCGACAGAGAAGAAGAACUGGAGUUGCAGAUUCCUGCCGCGGCAGGAAAUAUUCUGCCGCGGAAGAAAAUCUGCAGGCUGGAGCUGCGUGAGGUAGACGGGGAAGAAGAAGGGGAGCAGCAGCGGCUAGCUGCUCCAACAUAGCCUUAUCAGUUGCCGGGUAUUAACUGGACAAUUCCUAAUCAUGCUUCAUGAAACGGUGCUAAAACAUUGUCCUGUGUCGCAAGUCCCAACAAUCCUAAUGGAUUUCAUUCUGCCGAGUCAUUAAAGGUCUGUGCUUGUUACUCCUAAUUCUGAUCAUAGUUAUUGUAACGUGCUUCUAUCUAGAAGCCGAUGUACACCUAUCAUGUUUGUCAGUUAUAACUUUGUAUGCUUUAAGAAGAUCUAUUUUGUACUUUGGGCUAGGUAUUUUCUACUUCGUAUGCUUCAAGGAAGGUAACUGACUGAGAUGAGAUGCAUAGUUGUUGCCAGAGAGAAGGGACGUUAGCACGUGGCAAACGUGGUUAGCAAUAAAAAUGCAAUCAGAGAGAAGGGAAGUUGGAGAAUGAAACAAAUAUUUAUUGUGAUAGGUUAAAAGUUAUACACAAUUAGUGUACAUAUUUAUUUUUAUUUAUUUAUUAUUUUUCGUUGCAACGCACGGGUACUUUGGCUAGUAUAUUUAUUUGGAGAACAUCCGUAUUUUAUUUGGUGGGCGAUGGAACAAGACAGACAUGUACCAUGCCUUCUUGGUUUUGAGUUGGUCCAGAAACAUCUCACAAAUGGUCCAACAACCCAACACAAAUGACCUAGUAUUACUCACUGUUCUAUACCAAUAGUGGGCCAAAAAGCGGAAAUUCCAUUUGGGUCCUGGGACCCCCUCCCUAUCUCCAUCAUUCCGCCGAUGUUUGAUGUUUGCUUUUAGACCCUGUUUGUUUGGGCCCUGAUGGUCGCCCUUUGCGUAUUUGUGAAAUCAUAGGUGAUGUGUAACAUUGGUAAGUAUUUUAGAUGAAACAUUGAUGUGGAUACUUUGGCUAAUAUGGAUUGACGAAGAUGUAACUUCGACAAUGUCCAUAUUGAUGGACUUGUAUCAAGGAAAGAGGAGUGUGUGUUGGCGAACUCGUCGGCUAACAAGGACACAGGGGACACGAUUUACCCAGGUUCAGAGCCCUCGAUGAGGUAAUACCCCUACGUCCUGCUUGUCGGAUCUGUAUUGAUGAGUCGAUUACAAUAGGGUGCCGCAGAGUCUAGACGCACCGAGUCGUCGAGUGCGUCCAGGCGACUUGUAUCUAAGCUCGGGGGGUGUCCUCUUGGCUCCCCCUCCUGGUCCUUUAUAUAUGCAGGAACUCACAUCCGAGGUAGAGUCCAAGUAGGUUACAAUGAAAAGACAUACUCUAAUUAUUCUUCCUUAUCUUGAGUCGCAAGAUUUGGCAUGUAAACUCCUGGAGUCGAAGUAGGCUUCCUUGUGGGCCCCUAGCUGGGCUGUAUCGGGUAUACUCGAGUCGAGUACGUGGUUAGUCAUAACCACGUCAUGGAUACUUAUGUGAUGACAUGUAUCUUGUUUGGACUUAGUGGUUUGCUAUUGGUGUGUUGAUCCAUUAGUUUCUUAUGUAAAAACAUGGCGUGAGUUGUGUUGAAACUUACCUUGAGUGAAGUCGUGGACUUGUGCUCGUACUGGUUAUUUGUGUGUUCACUUUCAGGUGUUGCCGGAGCUAGAAGAACAUGGUCGGUGAUGGGAUCGAGGGACGAAGCUUGGGAGAAGCUGAGGUCAAGGGAUCAAAGUCAUGCGAGACGUUCAUGUGAAGGAACAAUGGAAGUGAAAUAUACGAUGAUUCGGGAGGGCACCGGUUUGUCGUAUGUUGUUUAUACCGGAGAUGUAUGGUAUUGUAGAUAUUUGACACGUGAUGGUCGAGUUUUGAAGACAUCACAAGAAGAGUCAAGGAGUCCAAACAAGACCAGAUGUUCCCUAUUGUUAUCGGGAACGAGACUAAAUGUUCGGCCUUAAUGAGAUGGACCUUGAUUCCUCUCCGGCCAGGAAAAGAUGCGGCUCCUCUUUGUUUUGUUCUACUACCUUCAUCCUCGGGUGAAGCCGGUUGGCUCACCAAACAAGAGGCCUACUGUUAAAUCAUUGGUAACCAUGCCUAACGGUCGGUCCUCUAAGCUAUCGGCCAAGGCAAGUGAGAGCUGUUCAAGAGUUGGGGGCAUAUCUUUAGCUCGAGUAGCAUUCGCUCCCAAAAUGUGUGGCAUCGACGUGAAGACAUGUAGGUCCAGCCGUGGCUGGAUGAGAGCUGUUUAAAGACUAAACAAUAGUGUCAUGAAUAUGGCGUCCGAUGGAAAAGUGGUCCAUAUGGAAGUUGUGCGCGUCGUGACGCUGUGUGAAUGCUUUCUUUUGGCCUACGGGCUCCUACCUCCACAUCGCGUGCUUCGUGACGCUGUGUGAAUGCUUUCUUGGAAUAAAUCCCCAUAUGGGUCUUUGGAAGAGAAUGUUCACCAUCAAGCGCCAAGGCAAGGAUGCGAUUGGAUGGGUGAAUAUUCAAACUCAUGCGGAUGCCAAAUUCUUCAACCUCCGAGAGAGGGCAUCAUCUUCUCGAUGGAAAUCGAGGUGGUUCUUUGUCAUGGAUGUGCCGGCCGAAGGACGCGACUUCAGUCUUCCCGAAUUCUCCGUGACCACGUCGGUGAAGAAGACGAUGGCCUGGAGUCAUAAAUUGGGAGGAACAGAGGGUGAAGAAGCCGAGACUCUAUUGGCCCGAGUUCUGUCUCUCAUGGAGACUCCUCAGUUGAAGGUGACUAGAAUUCACCUCAUUGCCGCUUUUAUCCGGAGAAGAAUUCAGCCUCUGCAGGCUCGUGCUCAUCCCAUGUGGGCAUAUCGGGGGGGUUCAUGACUCGACCCGAUUUAGUACCGAGGAAUUUCGUUCGACUGAAGUGUGUCGACGAGUUCGGCGACUUACUAACUUGGACGAGUCGGAGCCCUGCGAGAUUGACCCUCCAGUGGCUCCCUAUGGGCCUGACAGGUCCCUAGAAAAGAUGACCACCGAAGCGUCUGACAAGCCCUGCUGUUUUUUGGCAUGAAUUAUUUCUGAUCAUGGUUUUGAUUUUAGGGACCCGAUAAUGAUCUAAGCGGCGCUUCCCCACCGGCAAAGAAGCGCGGCAGAGGAAAAUGACUUGUCGGUACAGACCCAAAUGAUAAGCUUGAGGGACCCGAACGUCGGGCCGUCAGUGUCUGUACCUGCGCUCAAGAGAACCAAGUCCGACGGGCCAAUCGCGACUCUCGCUUUGGUCUUUUUGCAUGACUCAACCGUGCCAGGUGAAUCUUUUAGCCAUCUUACUUCAGUAUCCUAGAGAUUUUGACUGAACCUCUAAAAACUUCUUGAUUAGCCAUACUAGUGGCUCAGUUGAGAGCAAAAAGGCUCCCUGGACUCAAUCGACUGGUCAGGACUUGAAAGGGUCGGACCAGCCGACUAAACAAAAGACAGCCCAUACCAAGGAGGCUUCGGCGGCUAAUCCGAGCAGAGGAAGUCGACCAGAUGAGUCGAGCGUUCCUCAGGCGACGGUUCCUGCGUCGAGUCGACACGUGAGCAAAUUUGUCAUUUGCUAUUACCUGCCUCCCGGUGGGAGUGACACUCAAGAAAUGACUUGAGAUUGCUUUUUUGUUUGUAGCCAAUCAUCCGCUCCAUGGCAACUCUUAUUGAAGAGUUUGAGGAGACGAAAGCAGAUCGGGAGCGACUUCGAGAAGAGCUGAGUCAAUGAAGCGAUCCUCCCCCUUACAAGGGUUCGAUCUCUGUGCUUACCGUGCUAGUCCCUGGAUCGACUCACUAGCACACACAGUUUCAUGAUGAAAUAUACAGAAACAAAGGUCAAAAGUACUUUAUUACAUCGCAUCAUUCAGAAUUUAAAUAGUACUUACAACCUCGCAUGACCUCUUGGCCAGCAUAAAACAAAUACUGUUUCAUCAUCAUAAAACAAUGUUUCAAAACUGCAGCGGAAAAGGGUAGAACAAAAGGGCCUCAACUACUCCAAGGUGAGAGCAUGUUGGAAUGUAAGCACAUGACCCAUGACAAAACGACGAACCUCACUCAUCGUCGGAUCCACCUGCAUUGUAAUUGCAGCCACUACGUGGUCAAUACAUUUGAAUGUAUUGGCAAGUUCACCAGAGUUAUAAAGGACCUACCAAGUAUAUGCAUAAUUUGGCUAGGUGGAGUUUGGCUGUUUGCAUAAAAGCAUCAUAGUUCAAUCCUAUCAUUUUUAAACAAUUAGUUUUGAAUUCUAUUGGACACGGGAUAGAAACACCCAUGCUCCUAUUAACCUAGGCACAUUGAGUAGAAACAUCAAUGCUCCUACCCAGUUCAAACCAUUCUUUUUAUUAGGAAAUUGGAAUGAGUGAGACCUUUCUUACAGCCCCAAUAUCUAGUUGCUCAUAAUUGUCCGUAACCGGGGACACGGCUAAGUACUUAGUUUGACACUCUCGAGAGGUUGUACACAUUCCCCACAAGAAAUCGACGUGUUAAUCCCUUGCUGUCCUCAGGGUAGAGUAGCAACGGCAUCGACUACAGGAUUUUUCAGAACAUAAUCUCCCAGACCACCUGAUGGACGCGCCCCCACCUACACUGCUACAUACCGAUGUCACCUCGGAUCCGGGUUCAUAUUUCUUACAUCCAUCCUGGCAGAGCCCAUAAUACCAUGUGGUUGUACUGGAAUCUACUAAACAAGAAACUAGUCCAGUCUCUGGUUACCCCGGGUGGCAUUCCUCAGUUGCAACGCAGGCGCUCCCAUAGAAAUGGUGAGACGACUCAUAGAAAUGGACCCAUAGAAAUGGACCUGACGUCGCAUACAUCUCCACUUCCUCAAAGCAGCCCACCCAGGACGGUUUAUUGAAUUACUUGUUUUGCCGUACACUAGGAAAACCAUAUUGUAAUUCAAUAGUAUCACAUUGUAAUAAUACCACCCUCGUAUAUUAUCAUAUCCUAGCAUUUUACUACCACGAUGGCAAUUGGUGGUGGGAACAUGGCAAAGGUAUUCUACACUAUUAGGAGAAUCAUAGCAUAGCAUAGAUACAAUAAUAAUCCUAACAAUGCAACUAAUAAAAUCUAGUGCAUAAUAAAGUAAUACGUGAAUGAUCAAAGUGAACUUGCCUUGAUAGUAGUUGGUAUUCAAACACUCUUCGCAAUCACACAGUUCGUUCUCCAAGAAAACUAAUCAAAUACAAACAUUGCAUACAUAAGCACACAAUACAAUCAAGAGUAAAAAAGUAUGCCAUGAUGCAAUGUAAAACAUGUGACAUGAGCUUGGUUUAUUUUAUUUGAGUGAUCUACUGAUCCUAAGCAUAAGUAAUUAAAACAAAUGCAUUAGCGUUUUAAAUAGAAAGGCAAAGGCUAGGGUUUAAACCCUGAAAUAAGGUUUUAUUUGCGUCUGCAAAGAAAUUUAAUUCAAAAUAUUUAUUUCUCUGUCUUUAUGGACAGAGGAUAAUAAAAUAAAAUUUUGGGCACUGGUUUCAUUCAAAAAGGACUUCUAAAUAAUUAGUUAUGAUUUAAAUAGUAUUAUACCUUAUUCUGUAAUUUGAAUGUGAUUCAAAUUUUCAAAUUUAAAAAUGGACAGUGCCAAAAGAUUCUACACUUCCUAAGGAUUUCAAAAAGGUGUGGAUCAUCAAAUUUGGCCAAACAGAUUAAAAGAUAUGAUCAUUUGAAGUUAGAGGGGCUUUUCUGCAAAAGUGCCAUUUCUAAUUAUUCCGGGAAUUAAAAUUAGAUUUUCGUUUUAUAAAAUAGGUGCCACAUGUCACGUUCUCAUUGGUGCGUACCGGUUCGGUUAAAAAUAAACACGGGAUCUAAUCCUAGCCCUCGGAUCUGGAUCGGACGGACGGGGCGGGCUAGGGUUUACCUCCGUGGCGGCGGCGGUCGCCGGAGACGAGGGAGACGGCGGCGCGGGCACGGGCGGGCGGCUCCUCCGGUGAAGUUGACGGCGCGGGGAGGUGCUGGGUCGACACGGCGCGGUACGGCGAAGUCGGGGGCGAGGUCGGCGCUCCUCGGGGUCGUCGGGGUGCUCGCCUAGGAUGGCGCGGAGACAGCGGCGAGCGGCGGACGGCUCCGGAUCUUCGGCUUGACGACGGCGAGGCGCUGCGGCGCGCAAAAAGGAGAAACGGACGCAUCAAAAGAUGCGCAAGGACGAAGGAAAGCGAACGGCUAGAAAUGGGCAGAGUUUUGACCUUAGGGUUCACCGGCGGCGACCAAAACGUGCGGCGGCGAGCGACGAGCUCCGGCGAGCGAUUCCGGCGGAGUGGGCGCGUGAGAGAGAGGGGAACGAAGGGGGAAGAAGAGAGGGGGGCGGGGGGCAGAGCUUUAUGUUGACGCGCUCGGGGCUGCGAAAUAUGGACGGAGCGCAGAGAUCUCGGCGGAGACGGCACGCGGUGGCGAAGAAGGAAAGCGGCGGUGGACGCGGGCGCUUUCCAUCGGGAACGAAGACCCUGACGCGUGGGUCCCACGCGUCAGUGGCAGCGGGCACGCGCGCGUGCGGCGGGGCCAGUCUGGCUCGGUCGGGCGCGGUCGGAGGGGGCUGGUCCGGCCCAUUUUGGCGGGGCCGGUCCGGUUUUCUCUUUAUUUUUCUUUUAGCCCUUUUGUUUUUUCUGUUUUUCCUAUUUCUUUGAUAUCUUUUGAUUUUUACUCCAAAUUGGUCCAAAUAAAUUCUAGAAAAUUUCUAAAAUCAUGUUCUAUCAUGAUUCAACUUUUGGGAGUAAUUUCCCUUCAAAAUAAAAUACCUAAAAAUACAUUUUCCCUAUAAAUGCCUUUAGGGCUAUAUAACUAUUUAAAUAAAAUAGUUUUUCAACUCCAAAUAAUUGUCCAAAAAUUAUGGAAUAGCUCAUUUAUGCAAUAAACCCCUUUUAUAAAUAAACCUUAUUGGUUUAAAGAUUCAAAGCUCAAAUGGGUGUAAACCCUAGGGUUUAAAUUGAAAUAAAAACUUUUAAAGCCUUUUGAGAUUCAAAUUUGAAUUCAAACGUGCAAUUGUGGCAUGAUGCUUAUGAAUGCAAUGCAUAUGAAAGGAUUUGAAAUUUUGGGAUGUUACAGUCAAUGUCGCCAAGAGCUGCAGGACGUGGCCGCCGAAAAGAGUCGUCUUCAGGAACGUAUAGACUCCCGUAUUUCCGCAGAGAAAGAGCGGGAGAAGGUUUGGAUCGAGCGACUCGAAAGUGCUACUCACUCAGUUGCUGGUGAGCGCUUGAACCUGUUAUUCGAGUGGCUUUUCCUUCUCGUGGAAAAUUUUGACCGUUUCUCUGUCCUUUUGCAGGAGUCCUUGAUGCUUCCGCAUAGGUCCAAUUCAAAGAGAGAAGCCGAAGCUUCAAUGAUGUUUUAGAAAAUGUUGAAGUCAUCAAUGAUGAAGCCAAGGGCAAGCUCCGGCAAGCGACAAAGAUUCUGACCACCGUAAUCAGGAAGAUGACUCCUGAUGGGUCAGUGCCGGAGUCGCUGAAUGGGCUUAUUGAAUUUUUUGCAGCGAGUCAUGACCCGGUAGGGGAGUACUACUGAUGCUGAGCUAUUCUUUACGCUUGCUCUUGCGCAUGGCAUUGAGGAAGACGCUCUCCAUCGAGUAACCUCUCGAUCGAGAGCAGGUGACUCGGUCAACCUAGGGCCCCUUAUGGGAAAGGGCAAAGAGCUGGCUGAGAUCUCGUUGCGGCAGCCACGUAGAUCAAUUGAGGAGAUGAACCUAGCUUCAUCCAGCGGCCCAGAGGUGGGUGAUCUUUCACUAGAUAUAUUUGAUUCUCUUUCUCCUUUGUGAAUCUUCUUCUUCUGUUCUUAUACCUUUGUAAAGAACUGCUCUAGCUGAGCCCUUUUUGGAAAGAAAUCAAAAAAUCUUUAUUUCCAUCCCGAAAGGGGUUCUUCAGGAUAAAUGCUGAGGUAACUUGUGUCUUUUCCGCGCAGAGGGAAAAAGGACCAUCGAGUCACUCGAUUCCAGGUGCAGCGGCAACCUCUCGCAACGAUGCUCCAGCCGAUCCUAGCGGAAAAGGUCAGGCUGGGUCGGCUUUGUGCCCAGAGCAGUUACGAGAAAUUGAGGCUCGAUUCACUAAAUUGAAGCGUGACACGCUGGGUGACGCUCAGAGUAGCAAAUCUAGCCUGAAAGCUGCGACCAACCGGGAAGAGUUUGUCUUUGGAGAGCUUCGCAGCCUGAGCAGCCAAAUCCAAGGUAAGGAUCGCAAGACUUUGCCUUUCGAGUCGGUCUGCAAAGUGAUCUUACCGUCUUCUGUGCAGUUGUUCGCUUUGACCCUGACGAUGAAAAGGCCAAAGUGAAUACCGCCAUUCAAGCUCGCAGAGUGCAUGAUCCAUCAUCCUUUUCGCUGGAUCAGUCAAGGAGCUACGACUUGAUGCUGUUGAUCGAGCGGAUCAAGCAGGUCAAAAGGUACUUGACCUCCUGCCGUGACAUGCUAGCUUCGACACAUCUGGCCUUAUGGCCACAGGAGAAGGUGCCUCGUAAACCGGGCAGCCUGAUGGUGAAGUUUCACGACGAGGAGAAGAUGAAGGAGCUGGUUCGACUCUAGCUGGUGAGGGGUGCCCAGAUUGCCCUCGCAUUUGUGCGAGUCAACUGCCCAGAGUUGGAUUUCUGGCAAAUUGCUACAUUGCCAGUUACUCUCACCCAGGGUAUAAAGUCAUUCCUGGAGGCUGGGCAGGCGGCGGCGCUGUAGAUGAUCCAGCAAUGGGAGGCAGCUGAGGAGGAGACCCUGCCUGUCGUAGGUAGUCAUGUAGUUUUUUUCCUCUCUUUUUUUGUAACGACUAGUCUACCGGGUGCGCGAUCAGCGCUCCCGGUGGGAGUAGCCCCCGAGUGCGGUUGCAACUGUGUGUAGUGGCGACCGGACUCAAGGUUGUAAUGUGAUAUCCUUGAGCAAUGUUGCACCCCUUCUUUUUUUGGAAUGGAGCGCCCUGACUUGCCAAUUAGCGCCGAGUCGAAUUCCGACUUGUGGAAGUCGAAUUUGAGUCGGAUUUGAAGUACUCCUGGUGGGAGUGCCUCGCAGUCGAAUAUAAAUAGCCGAGUGCAGACUCGAACGUACUAGCCAGCGCAAGGGAUUUGUCCUGCUGAUUAGCACUUGGGCCUUGGAAGAAGAUAUGGAUUCCUCCGAUGCACUCGAGGUUAUGCAUAUCCGUUUGGGACAUGUGAGGAAUACCACCUCGCGCAGGCAUGGGAGGAGAUUUCCUUGCUCAAGUCGGAGAAUCGGGCCGCAUCGGGUCGAGAGGAUUUAAUUUCCUCAGGGAAAAUGUGAAGGUUGAAGCUGAAUGUGUAAAGAGUCGUCUUGAUGCUUUAGCACGAUCUGGUUCGGAGAACCCAUCCUUCUAGUCAAAACCGCGACAAGGGUUAUGCCCUUGCGCUUCUGCAAGAUCGAGUUGCAAGAGCAGUGAUCUGCCUGAAGUCCUGCAGUCACUGUUUGACAGAGGUUCACCAUAACUUGUUUCCGGAGCUUCGUGUCCCUGUUGACCUGAAGGGAUUAAUCGAGAGAUUUUGUGAAGGAGCAGUAGUGAGGGGGGCUACUCAUGAACAAUUGGUGGAGGGUGUUGUGCUGGCUCUCUCGUUUGUUCGUUUUCGCUACCCCUCAUUGAAUCUGGACUCCCUGCAUUUGACUCCCUCUUACAUUCCAGACGAUGCUCAGCUUGGACCGAUUUACGACAUGAUGGAGAACACGACAUGUCAGCUGGUGACUCUUAUGGCCUUGGAGUAGAGUAGGCUUUGAUACUCGUUUAAAUAUGUAGGCGUAGUUGUCUGAGUAGUAUUUUUACCGGGUGCGCGACCAGCGCUCCCGGUGGGAGUAGCCCUCGGGUCUGUGCAUGACUGGUUUGCAGUCAUGUGGAGACCCAAAUACUUUGAAAUCUUUUGUAAUUGAAAACUGUUAGCAUCGUUGAAGAUGCCGCACCUUCUUGUUCUGUACUUCCAUUGAUCUUGUAUGAGAAAACAUUAUGAUUCCAAUUUUGCUUGCUUGGAAACUGCCGACCAUUGAAUGAUUGUGCUGAUGUUUGUUUACGCGAUAGCCCGUGAAUGCCGGCUGCAUACAACGAGAGUUUUUUAAAGUCGAUUGAACGCAGCCUCCGAGCGUGGGGUGCGACCAAUGACAAUGUCUGCGGUCGACGGGACACAGCCCCCGAGUGUCGAGUGUGUCCAAUGAUAAGUUUGGGUCGAUUGGACGCAGCCCCCGAGUGUCGGGUGCGUCCAAUGACAGUUUAGGUCGAUUGGACGCAGUCCCCGAGUGUCGGGUACGUCCAAUGACAAGUUUGGGUCGAUUGGACGUGUAACAUACCGGUUCUCGGCAUUUCCAAAAUCUAUUUCCUAAAAAUGACUACUUGAAAAUUUCGCUGAAUUAAACAAAGCUUAACUGGAAAUUUCUUGAAUCUUUGGUUCUAAAUUGAAUUUACACCGACUAAAUAUGAAUUUGAUUUAUACACUUUCUCAUUUGGUUUGCUUAUAUUUUAUUUGGAUUCUCCAUGUUCAAAUAUGCACUUUUAAAUCUCUCUGGAAUUCAUCUCGAAGUUGAUUUGAUGUUUGAGAAGUUCAUUCGAUCUCUUAGCUUCUGUAAAAAUAAAAAAGCAUUUCCUCUUUCUUUUUAGCUUUGGCUGAAAUCCCCAGCCGCAACCCAUCUUCCUUCUCUCUCCCGUAGCCCACUUCUGGCCGAACUGCUCCAGACUACCGUGCCUUGCUUCUAUUUUCUCCCGCGUGUGUUUAAUCUCCAGAGGACGAAGGAGAACUGCCAUCUCCUCGACGCCAGUGUAACUCGAGCUACCUAGAACGAUCGUAUUCAGAGGGAGCUCACGCGAGGAAGACAAGAGUUUUUGCGCUGCUCAAACUUCCGCAGCUUUUCUGGCAUUUUUCAUUCCCCUUUUUAUUCAGACGUUACAUGCAAAACAGAAAAUGGGGAGAGCAAGCCGCGCCAUGAUCCGCUGAUCCCGCGCCAUCCCACGGCCGAGUCAUGGCGCACAUCCCGCUCCUCCACAACGGCCACACUAUAGGCACGCCCAUGCAAACGUACGCAGACAUGCUGGGACGUGUUAUGCUAACAGAAAACAAACUAACAACUGAAAGCAAAGAUGUUUAACAUGCACGAGUUUACUAACAAAACACUCCCUAAACUCGUGCACCUACUUUAUUUGGAUCAUACCAAUCUUCGAGCGCAAUUCCUGGAAUCUGACGCGGCCAAGGGACUUGGUCAGGAUAUCAGAGAGCUGCGCCUCAGUUCGGAUGAACUCCACUUCAGCCUGGCCUUUCUCAACGCACUCCCGUAUGAAGUGAAAUCGAGUGUCGAUGUGUUUGCUCCUGUCGUGGAACACAGUAUUCCGGCUGAGAGAGAUCGCCGACUUGUUGUCGACGAACAACUUGAUGCAGGCCGCCUCUUCCUUCUUCAGUUCACCGAAAAGACGAGCUAGCCACACUCCCUGAGAGACAGCAGUGGUCACCGCAAUGUAUUCGGCUUCACAAGAUGAGAGCGCCACCACCUUCUGCUUGGUUGACUGCCAGGUAAUCGGACUUGUUCCGAGGAAGAAGAGGACGCCGUGGUGCUUUUGCGGUCGUCUAUGUCGCCAGCCAAGUUGCUGUCGCUGUAACCGACAAGGUUGGCGUCGCCGUUUGCUCCUCGUGCAAACUUGCAGCCAUAGUUCAGGGUCCCCGCGACGUAGCGAAGUAUGUGCUUCACUGCUGCAAGGUGCUUGACAGUAGGGGACUCCAUGAAUCUGCUCACAUAGCCCACCGAGAAAGUGAUAUCCGGCCGGGUGUGAACCAGGUACCUGAGGCACCCCACGAUGCUCCUAUAUUCAGAAGCAUCCGUUGGCUCUGCUGAACUAGCUUUGCUCAGCUUGAGGCGUGUUUCCAUCGGCGUCUGACAAGAAUUACAGCCCGUCAUCCCACUGCGCUCAAGGAUCUUCACGGCGUAUGAGGACUGACAGAUGGUGAUGCCGGCAGCGUCUUGCUGCACUUCAAUGCCAAGAUAGAAACUGAGUGGCCCAAGGUCACUCAUCUCAAACAGCUGCUUCAUUUCUGCUUUGAACAACUGCAGCUCUUGCUCGUUGGCUCUAGUAAUGAUCAGGUCGUCCACGUAAACUCCGACCAAAACUCUGGCUUUGUCUUCACCUCUGGUAUAGACAGCAUGCUCCAGCUUGCUGCGAACAAAGCCAAUUGACGUAAGGCAAUGAUCCAGCUUUGCAUUCCAUGCCCUAGGAGCCUGUUUUAGACCAUAUAAGGCCUUCCGAAGCUUGAACACCUUGUGCUCUUGCCCUUUCACCUCGAAGCCCGGUGGCUGAGCAACAAACACCGUCUCCUCUAGUUCACCAUUGAGGAAGGCGGACUUCACGUCCGUGUGGUGCACAGUCCACCCGGCAUGCGCCGGGAGAGCAAGCAGCAGCCGGAUGGAGUCCAGAUGAGCGACCGGCACGAACACUUCGUCAUAGUCCACGCCAUGCCGCUGCACGUAGCCCUUUGCGACAAGACGGGCUUUGUGCUUGGCCACCUUGCCGCGAGAGUCUUUUUUCACCUUGUACACCCACUUCAAUCCUAUAGGACGUUGUCCUUCCGGCAGCGAGACCAAUUCCCAAGUAUCAUUGGCCUCAAUAGAAUGCAUUUCCUCCAUUGCUUUGCGCCACCACGCAUACUGGAUGGCAUCACGGUGGCUCGUUGGUUCUUCGUUGAUGAGGAGAUUCAGCAGCGGGGCCGCACCGGCAUCAAGCACAUUCCUGACAGUGCGAUACCGAUGAGGCACAUGAGCGUCGUCGUCGUUGUCGAACAGCUCUGGUUCCACCGUGGGUGGAGAGACAAGCUCGAAUCCCACAGUGGGCGAUUCAGCAGGCGUUGCUGGUGUUGCGGGCGUUGCUGGAGUCAUGGGCGCUGGACUGGAGUCGUUCGUGUUGUCGGCCGGAACUGGAGAUAAUGCCGCCUGCGUCGCGGCCGGGUGCAGCACAUACUCAACAGUAAAAUAAUCUGUCGACAAACCAGAGUCGUUAUUGCUGCCGUCUGCGUCCCAGUUCCAUGCCGCAGACUCGUCGAACACCACGUCACGAGUGACAUGGAUGCGCCUCGCCACGGGAUCAAACAUUUGGUAGGCCUUGAUCCCAGGCUCGUAGCCGAACAUGACCAUCUUGCGGCUCCUGUCGUCCAGCUUCUUGACAUUGGGGCUCACCAUUUUGACAUGGCCGAUGCAGCCAAAAGUGCGGAGAUAGUGCACAUUCGGCUGCCAUCCAUGCCACGCCUCGAACGGGGUCUUGCCCUCAACGCUGGCCGUCGGCAAACGGUUCAGCAGGUACACUGCCGUGGUGACUGCCUCGCCCCAGAACUCCGCCGGCACUCCCUUCGCCUUCGCAGGCAGCGUGCCAUGCCGACGACGUUUGAUUGCGCCGCUCGACGACGCCGUUUUGCUGGGGAGAGUACGGCGCUGUCAAGUGCCGCUUCACUCCCAGCUCCUCGCAAUAUGCAGUGAAGUUGUUCGACGUAAAUUCACCGCCGCGAUCGGUGCGCAGCGCUCGGAGUGGAUGCUGCGACUCGUUCUCGGCAGCCACCUUGAAUCGCUUGAUGGCCACGACUGCCUCGUCCUUGCUCGUCAACAAGGUCAGCCACAUAUACCUGCUAUAAUCAUCCACAAGAAGCAGGAAGUACCGCUUGCCUCCUGGCGUUGCCGGUGUCACCGGGCCGCAGAGAUCGCCAUGCACCAGUUCAAGCUGAUCUGCAGCCCGGUACUUUGCCUGGUGGGGAAAGGGAGCUCGGCGUUGCUUCCCCACCAAGCAGCUGUCGCAGAGCUGGCCCACGCGCUCGAUCGUCGGCAUGCCGCGAACCAUGCCGUCCCUGGAGAGCCUCCGCAGUGCAUCGAAGUGCAGGUGGCCGUACCUGGCGUGCCAACGCCAGGCGUCAUCGUUCCCUUGUACAGAGAGGCAGAUGGGCUGCGCCACCUCGAGAUGUAGCACGUACAGACGCCCCCGGUUUCGCCUCACACGAGCGAGCAGCUUCCGUUGUGGAUCCCACAGCCGGAGAACGCCGUGGUGGAUGUUCGUCUCACACCCAAUUUCGUCCAUCUGCCCUAGACUGAUGAUAUUGCUCUCCAGACGUGGGAUGAAGUAGACAUCAGUGAGCACUCGGUGCUCACCGUUCCGGCAAGUGAAGACAAUCUUGCCGCGGCCCUCGAUGUUGACCAGCGAGCCGUCCCUGAGCUUUACGCGUCCACUCAUGCCGGCAUGCAGCUCGGAGAAGAGUUCACGGCGCCCGGACAUGUGGUUCGACGCGCCACUGUCCAGGAACCAUGACAUGUUGCAGCGCCCAUCGCCGGGAGCCGCGCGGGCUUUAGAGUGCUCCUCAUUCAGCAUGACGUGCUCCUCGGCGUCGUCCGUGAUCACCUUCAGCGCGCACGUGCGCGCCAUGAGGAGCGCCGGCUCCUCGUCGUCGGCUUGGGCGAGAUUGGCAUGCCCCUUUCAUUCCUUCCUAGGCUCACGACAAUGCUUCGAGAAAUGGCCCAUCUUAUUGCAAUUGAAACAUUUCACCUUGGACAUGUCGAUGUUUCCGUUGGCGUCGCGGGCAUGCCCAAUGCCCUGUUGCUUCGGAGCCUUGCCGCGCUCGUUGCCGUUCGCGUUCUGGGCAUGGUUCGUGCCGCCCACGUUCUGGCCUUGGCCACCGCUGCCUUGGCCCGUCUGGCGCUGGCUGCGGCGUGUCUCCCACUCCUCUUCGGUGAGGAGUAGCUGGCCUCCGGCAGCACUGGACGAGCUGCUGCCGAGGGUGUAUCGGGACUCCGCCGCGCGAAGCCGCCCGAUGAGUUCCUCCAAAGACACCUGCUUGAGGUCGAGCAGCGUCUCAAUCGACAUCACGAUUUGCAUGUAUUUCUCCGGCACACGCGCGAGGAACUUCUUCACCACCGUGUGACCGGCGCCACCGGAUCGCCGAGCGUCUCCAUGUGGUUGAUAUGGCUGUUGACCCGCAUGCUGAACGAGUCGAGGGAUUCGCCGAGUUUGAAGGCGAAGCGCUCCCACUGCGUGCGAAGGCGUUCCACCGCCGCCUUGCGCACGCGCUCCACGCCGAGGCGCAUGAGCUUGAUGGCCUCCCAGCCCUCCCUGGCCGUCUCCUUGGAGGCAAUGAUGCCUUUCAUCUCCGGUGGCACGGCUUUGAUCAGCGCCGCCAGAGCAUUCAUCUCGUCGACCUCGCUGAUCUCGUCGUCCUCCUCAGCGAUCAUGGCCGUCCACAACCGCUGGGCACGCAGGUUGACCUUCAUGACCUGUGCCCACUCGACGUAGUUCGUCGCCGUUAGCUCGGGGCAGGUGAUCGUGCUUCCCCCGCCGCCGGCGACCACCCUCUCCUGGACGAUUAUCUGGCGGUUGUCGUUCCGCCUCGCGCCAGGACUCUGACCUCGCGGCCGUCGUGAAGCCGACCGCGAACCACCGACAGACCGCUCGCGUGAGCGAUCCUGACUGCCGGCCAUGGCGCCUAGAGCCUUUCGUGGCUCUGAUACCAACUGUAACUCGAGCUACCUAGAACUAUCGUAUUCAGAGGGAGCUCACGCGAGGAAGACAAGAGUUUUUGCGCUGCUCAGCCAGAAACCGGCAACAAGAAACGUCAUCCGACAGCCAUCAAAUUAAUAACCCCAUCUUGCCCUUCCUUCCUUUCCUCCCUGCUGCUUUUGCACGCCAUAGCCUGAAUUCCACCCGCAGCAUCGCCAAGUCCCUGCCUGCGCCCCACUGCCCACCAAAUCGCCAUUGAUGUUGACGGCAGAAUCCUGCGAAUAAAAACGCUGCAGACCAAACCCUUGCGCCAGAACAACCACACCAUUCCAAUUUUCCCCAACGCAACUCUCCCCUCUCCACUUUCCAACCGAAGACCCCCAUGGUGCAGCACCGAAGAGGAUGACAAGGGAGAGCAGCACCAGCGAUCAUGUCAGGAGGGCCAUGCCAAGAAGGGAUCGAGGCCAAGCGCCAUGCAGUAGGAAGAAAGGACUGUCGUCUGAUCGACUACAACCGCCAGCAAAUCCUCCUGUCUUUAUUCUACUGCUAUUCAUCGAAUUGGUGAGAAUCUGAUCAAACCAUCAUCCUUUUGAAUGCCUCUACAUCCAGCACAUAUGCAGAUUCAAGUGGAUUUCUGAACCAAUUUGUUUAGCAUCCCCAAAUUCUCUUUCUUCCACUUCUGAAUAUUGUUCCACCGAUCAAAUCUUUCUCCCAUCCUUUAGUAACCAUCUUUAGUCAGCAUUACCACUGGUUACAGGUCCUAGACCAAUCGGAUAGGGGUUGGGAACAAUAAAACUCAAAUAAGCCUAUCCUGCUUGUUAGCACCAAAAUGGUUGAUUUCAUAUCUUUGCUAGAUCAAUUUUUGUUUGUCUGAAACUUUCUGCAUAUAUAGAUGUCUAUCAUGUUCUAGUAUUAAUUUACUUUGCAUACAAAUAGUUUCACAUGUUCUGGACUUGUAGAUUUGAGGAUCUUGAGAUUGCAAGGUUGUUAUUUCAUGUGCAAUAGUUAUUUUGAUCAUGCUUGUUCUUUCUGUGUAAAAAUCUGCAUAAAUGUCUAUAAGAUCAUGUUUGUAGUUAGUUUUACCUGCACACAUUUUAGUUGGACUGUCACUUCUGAAUCUCCAUUUGUGGGCAUGUUUUAUCUAUUAUUUAAAAGCAUUGUUUGCAUUCUAGUUCAUCGGUUUGGUACAGAAAAUCAUGUGAAUGAAGUUUGCUGCACAAAAAUGCAUGGCAUGACAUCUUAGAUACUUCUAUGAGUAUUAUGAACAUAUUUUAGAACUCAGCCAUAUUUAUGUUAUUGAUCGUUGAGUGUAUCUAUUUUAAUUUGUGCAGAUUAAUAAAUGAUCAUUCUUGCAUAUGUUUUGCGUAGCUUAUUUGUACGGGUUAGAUUUAUGUCUUGGCUUGCUUGUAGUAUUUUUAGCCUGUAACAAAUUGUAUAUAUAUUGUUACAUAAUUAUUUCUAAAGUUUGUAGAAUUUUCUCACAUGCCUAGUUAGCUUUCAGAUUUAUAAAUUAGCAUCCUUGCUUGUGUUUUUGUUUAUGCAGCACAGCCAUGAUAGUUGUUUUGGUUAUAUCAGAUUUAAUAUAGCUUUUGUAUGCUUACUAGUAUUGUUGGUAAUUAUUUGAGUAUUUAUGGAUUGCUAGUUUGUUUUUAACAUUAUUAUUUCCAUAGAUAUACCAUGUUUAGUGUAUAUAAAUGCUUGUUAAUGUAUAUACUAUUUGUCUAAUACAUUGCAGCGUCCAAUAUUAUACUUGGGUUGUUUUGAUGCUUUCCAUGCUGUUCAUAUAUAUGUCAUGGUAUGAUGUUUGUUAUCCAUGGCCCAAGGUAGAAGAAGACACACAAACACAAUGAACUCACAGAGGCUUUGGCACCCGCACACCUCGUGUCUUUUUUUCUCUUGUUCACUUGUAAACUUAGCUGAUUACAAGUCUUAAGUAGAGAGAAAAACAUAGGCACACACUGCUGCUUUGAUCCGCUAAUUGCUCUCCACUAGCCGGUAGCUAGAAAGCCACGAAUAAUCACGUUGGAUACGGCCACACGAUUCAGCCGGAGUCCUCCUCAACUUGUUGAUUACUCGGUCCACACCUGAAGCCUCUAAUGGCCAUGUAACUCGGUCAGCAACAGCACACCUACCUGCAUGCUACUUAUCCUAUCGAUGCCAACACAUGCAUCCAUUCUCCACUGGACUAGCUAAUUCAACUAACUAAAGUACUAAACUCACUUAGCUUGCAUGCACACACGUGAACACAUCUCUCCGUGUGCGCUGCCACAGCUUGCUACCUGAACGACACAAAUAAAUGAACAUGAUGAAAAAACUCUAAACAACAAGGUUAACUCCAACAAUGUUUGCAUUUAUCCACUACCUAUAUUGCAUAUAGAGUAGGUUUGUACAAUUGCAAUGCAUUUGCUAUAGUUUAUUCUUGUAGCUAUUCCGAUAUUGCAUGAAUGCUUUGUACAAUUUUAGUACAAUAUAUUCCAAAGCCAUGAGCUUGAUUGUAUUUAUAGAUACAAAUAAUAUGCAUGUGCUUUCUUAUUGCUUGGCAUACUUUGUUAUGGUUUGACUUAUACAUCAUAUAUGCUCAUCCAUGGAUAGCCUCUUGCUUGCUAGCUAGUGAUACAUGUUAGUUGUUGCCUGUCCCUGUAUAUGCUAAUAUAAGGAUGCAUGUCAUUUAUUUGUUUAGCUUUGCCAUGUUUGUUAGUGCAUAUGUCCAUAUUAUCACAUGAUAGCCUAUUGUCACUGAAGGAGCAUAUGUAUUCUAGAGUGCUUUAUCCCUAUUAAUUAUUCUCACAUGAUAGCAUUGUUUGUUCUGACCUCCAUCAUGUAUAUGUUGGCUUGCAAAUGCCUAUAUUGUUUAGUUGCCUAUAGCUAAGAUGCAUCUCUUUGGUAUUAUCAUGCUCAUGCCACUAGCAUAGAUCCUAUGCUUGCUUGACUAGUAUAGAAUCAUGUGUGGCAUGUUUUACUCAUAAUUUAUCUGUUGUGAUUGUUCAUGCUUAAUUUGUAUUCAACCUUGACUUGAAUUAGAACUACUUCUGUUUUUUAUUUUAUUUAUUUUUAUCAUGUGUAGAGAGAAUUGUUAGCUUUGUAAGUCUCUCACUCAUCCUUGCUGUUGUAUGCCAGUUUGUAUAUUAUGCGAAUUGCUUGUUUAACUAGGAUGAUAGGAGUUUGAUUGCUGCUUGCAUGCUAGCAUAAUAAUGUGUGUUGCUUUGUCAUGGAGUGCAUUUACAAAUAUGCUUGAGAGUUAUCUUUGGUUAGUGGCAGCAUAGCUUUAUAGUUUAGUAUUUAUUAUUAUUAUACUAAAGGGUAUGACCAAUCAUAUAUAUCCUUCCUCUCGGAUAUAUAAUUAUACUUGUUAGAAUCUGUCCCACCAUCCAAUCCUAUCAAAGUUAUUCAUAUCGUUUCCAAACCUAUUGUCAGCCUCAUUGUUUAUUCGCUCUCUUAUUUCUAUUUCAUUUGACUUUAUUGCUUUUGCAUUUAUUUUGUUUGUUCUUGUUAUCGUUACGACAAAUAGAGAGUGACGAGGUGGAUCUGAGUGCGUCCAAUGACAAGUUUUGGGAUCGAUCUCUCAGUUCUGAGUGUGAUGCGAUCGCAACAAGGUAAGUAAAAGGGGAAGGCUCUGAAUAGAGGAGCAUAAUUAGUUUUAUUACGUACCGAUGGUACAAGAAGGUACUUAAAAAUGCAGAAAAAGGAAAACGAAUAGGUGAGAAACUAAAAAAUAAAAUCGAGUAAAAAAAGCCUGGCGCGUUGGCGGCACAAUUGCGUGGCAUUCCGCGCCUUGCUUCUUGAGUCCCCGGCUCUGGAUUGGAGUCUGAGGGGGAGGUUUUUGAUUCUCCUAUCCCGUAGUCGAGUUGGCUGAACAGCCAUGUCAAGUGCAACUGGGUGCACUGCUCCGGCGAAACUGGCUGGGCGCGGAGGCGGAGGAGGAGCACCGAUGGCUAGAGCUCCUGGUAUGGGAGGCAGCAAGGGUGCAUUGACUCCUUCGUUAGGGUAUGGAAGCAUCCCAGGUAGCUGUGAGAAGCCCGCACUUGUUGCCCACUGCUGUGUCCUGGCAAACUCAGCCUGCAGUUCCUUGGAGCGCCGGCACUCGGCUAGAGGGUGGCUUGGCUUGAUGUUGCCUUGCUCAUCCCUGUAGACGUGAAACGGGCAAGGGGAAGCUAGCUGCUGAGCAAGGGUUGGUUGAUUUCUUUUUCUCUGCCAUUUGUUGCCCACGCUUGUCACCACCUCGAAAACCUCCACCGUGAUUUCCGGUCUCCUAAGAGCCAAAAUCUGUCGGAGAGGCUGCCGCGAUGAAUUCAGGAGGGUGUGAUUCUUCGAAGGCUCGGUUUUUGUGCUCCUUCGUCGAUCGUGGCCACGAUCACCCUCUUCCUCUGGAGAUCGGUGGCGUUCAUUGCGAACCGAGUCUUCACCGUCAGCCCAUCGAUUUGUGGGCUGCACACAACCCAAUUCUUCCUUGAGUUCGACUCGUCGGAGUCCUCGUUUGAAGGCGUACAUGGCGCUUUCGUCGGAGACUUCCUCAGCAGCGUGUUUGGUGUUGGUCCAGCGCUGGAUGUACGAACGGAUGGAUUCUCCCUCCUUUUGAAUACAAGCUCAGAGUUGCUCGAUGUCGCACCAGUGGCACCCAGGGUACCACCGCUGCACGACGCGUGGGCCCCGUUCCCGGGUUCCCGGGAAGGUCUCAUCCCGAGGAGCGUCUAUGAGCUCCCCGGCAAGCUACCAGCCCGAAAGGGGCUCGCGGGGCUUCGGGGAAUAUUCCCGCCUGGGCACCUCCGGGAAACUGCUUCCCGAGAGGGGGUUCCCAGGUGCGUUGGGCCCGGGUGCUUCCCGGGGUCGACUUGCUGGGUUCCCGGGCGCGUGCCCCCGCCUCGGGCGUGGGGCCCAGUGGACAGCGCCACGCGGGCGCAAUGCGGGCGCGGGACGCGCGGUCCCACCAAGGCAAUGAGUAAGGCGCACGGCUCAGUAAACGAGCCGACCGACGGGUAGUUACCCGUCCGAUCCAAGGAACAGUGGUUGUCUAAUCCUACCCUAGGGUCCUAGGCCCCUAGCAGCAGAGGUGGCACCCAUGCACGCCACCAGCUCACCGGGGGAAGUUGCAUGCCUCCCCGUUGGACACUUGUAGCUCAUGCACCAUGGCACAUGUGGCAUCCCCUUGUGUAUAAAAGGAGGACCCAUGCCAACGGUCAAGGGGGUUAGUCAGUUGGUCAGUUAGUUGGUUCGGACGAAGCUCGCUCGAUAGAUGCUUAGUGGCUCCGGUAGGCAGCCAGCAGAGAGCGGUGAGGAGUGCCUAGCCACUGAGAGAAAGCCCGGGAGCUUGCCCGACAACCUGUAAACAUUUGAUCCGUAAUUAAUAUCAGCUCAGACAGGCAGGACGUAGGGUUUUACACCUCCGGGUGGCCCAAACCUAGGUAAAAAACGUGUGUGCAUAUGUUCUUGGACUAGCGCGCAUCCUUAGCACUUUGUCUCACCGGCCCCGUAGGGCCUCAUCAGCCGUGCCGACGAUCACCGAGUCUCCGCCCCAGACGCCCCUACCGAACCUAAAAGGGGGACGUGGCCGCACGCCCUCGGUGUCGGAGCACCGAGCGACGACAUCUGGCGCGCCAGGUAGGGGGCACGGGAGUGGACAACGCCGGAGAUCGCCGGCAGCAGAAGUUUCCAUCGGCGUCGGCUUCGCUCUUCUUCGCCGACGAGCCUAGUCACCAUGCCCCCCAAGCGGGCUGGUGACUCACGCAUAGACUCGAGUCGGGGGCUCAAGAGAACCCCGAGCCCUCUAGGGUGCAGCAAACGCAGCUGCCUCCGCCGCCUCCUCGGCCGUCGACCGACAAUCGGCCAAGGGGACCGGCUGCCCCCAGUGUCGGGGGCAGUCGGGCGAGCACGCACGACGUCGCUCGGGCCAGCCAACGGGUUGAUCGCGGCUCGAGGACGCCCCGCGGCAGCGGCACCAGGAGCACGCCGCGUCACGAGCAACCCCUGGGGGUUCGCACCCUGCACACCCGGAGACGUUCAGGAAACCGGCUGCCCCCCGUGCGAACCCCGGCUGAAGCCAUCGUCGCCGCGCGCGUCAUGGUGCGGUACGAGCCGCAGCAGGGCACGCCGGUGCACGAGACGUGGGGCAAGGAGUUGGAAGCGCUUCUCGCCCUGGCCGCCCAGCAGCCGCAAGGCGAGGGCGCCCCGGUGGGCUCCGGCCACGGGCAGAACCCGGAGCGCGGAGACGCGUCACCCGCCUCACGACAGGGGGAGAACCCUCCCCUUCCUCACCGAGGCCAAGGAGACGGGGGCCCGGAGGGGUCCUCGAACUCAUCGCCCACCGUUCCGGGGGGCGAUGCGCAUGGCAUCUUGAAUGCUCGCCAGCAGGAGGAUCUGCGCCAGCGCUUGGAGCGCUGGCACAGGCGCGAGGUGGAGCGCCAGCGCCCUUAGGAGCAAGAAGAUGCUCCCAUGGGCCCCGAGGACGGCUGCACCGCGUUCACGCGCGAUCUGCGGCGGGUGGCGUGGCCCCGUAAGUUCCGAGCGCCUGCGCUCAGUACGUACGACGGGACCGCUAACCCCAAGGAUUUUCUCCUGACCUACACGUUGGGCAUGCAUGCCAUCGGCGCUGAAGGGGAUCAAGCAGCGCCACGAGGAGCGCCGCGCCGCCGGCGCCUGCUUCAAUUGUGGCGACAUCGGGCAUCUCUCCUGAGAUUGCCCGAACGACCCCAGGGUGGGUCCGAGGCCGGCCGGCGGUGGUGCCGACAAGGGUGCCCCAAGGGGGGCGCGGCCAACCCCGCGCUAUGCGGGAACACCCUCCUCGGGGACGCGACAGGGCGCGUGCUGAGGAGCAGCGCGAGUCCGACUAUUCCGGCGGCAACGAACCGGGCUUCCAGGAGCCUCGUGGCGUCGCCUGCAUUCAUGGGGGAGCUUGCGCUCUCCCUUCCCACCCCGCGGUGAAGCGCCUCACCCGCGACGUGUGCGCGCUGUUGCCGGAUGCGGAACCGCAAUAGCCGCUGAGGUGGUCGCACGUGCCGAUCACCCAGCACGGCAGUUGGGUUCAGGGGUAAUACCCUUCGUCGUCUCGCCGAUCAUUAGCAAUAUGACGGUGACCAAGGUGUUGGUGGACAACGGAGCGGGGCUUAACCUCCUGUCCGCCAGGCUGGUGGAAAAGUUCCAGCUGCCGAUGGAGCAGCUGAAGCCCACCGAACCGUUCCGGGGGGUGAACCCCGGGAUCGUGUGCCCGCUGGAACGCAUCACGCUGCCGGUCACCUUCGGGUCCCGUGUAUCGUUCAGGACCGAGCACAUAGUGUUCGACGUGGCGCAUACCCCGUUGCGCUACAACGGGAUCCUUGGUCGGCCGGCGCUGAUCAAGUAAUGGCGGCUACGCAUUGCGCCUACGGCGUGAUGAAGAUGCCGUCCGUCUAUGGAGUCCUCUCCAUCAGGUGCGACCUCAAAGACGCGGCUUGGUGCGUUGGCGAGGUCGUCCGGGCCGCUGCUGCAGCUGACGCCGGCGACGAGGAUGUUCUCGAGGACGACGGCUUGCCGGGUGAUGCCCUGGCAACGAAGAAGUCCCGUGCCACCCCGCAAGGGCUUGCCGGGGGAGGUGCAGGCUCGGGCUCGCGCCCCGGCAAGGGGCAGGGGCUCCGGGAGGAGGCCACCAAAGUGAAGAAGUUGCCCCUCCAAGCCGGCGAUGAGGAGCGCACCGUUACCGUCGGUGCGAACCUGGCCGCCGAAUAGGAAAGCGCCCUCAUCACCUUCCUCCGGGAUAACGCCGAUGUGUUCGCCUGGCAAGCGUCGGACCUUCCCGGAGUCCCCAGGGAGGUGAUUGAGCAUCGGCUCGCGGUGUGCCCGGAUGCGCACCCCAUUAGGCAGAAGAUCCGGCGGCAAGCACAAGAGCGGAAAGAUUUCAUCAAGCAAGAGGUGGGCAAGCUUAGGGCUGCCAGGGCAAUCAGGGAAGUUUUGUACCCACUUGGCUGGCUAACCCUGUAGUAGUGCCUAAAGCAGGGAAUAAGCUUCGCAUGUGCGUACAUUUUACCGAUCUUAAUCGUGCAUGCCCCAAGGAUCCCUUCCCUGUACCCCGUAUCGACCAGAUAGUUGAUUCUACCACUGUUGUGAUUUGCUGAGUUUUCUGGAUGCUUUCUCCGGCUACCAUCAAAUCAAGAUGGCGGUCGAGGAUGAGGAAAAGACAGCGUUUAUCACCUCGGUUGGCUGCUAUUGCUAUACAUGCAUGCCUUUCGGGUUGAAGAACGCGGACUCCACAUUCCAGCGCGCCCUGCGCGAAUGUUUGGGCCCCCAGCUAGGCCGCAACGUGGAGGCCUACAUGGACGACAUCGUCAUCAAAUCGAAGCGUAGGGACUCGCUGGUUGAUGACUUGCGGGAGACAUUCGACAACCUCCGCAGGAUCAAGCUCAAGAUGAACCCUGAUAAGCGCACCUUCGGAGUCAACUCCAGGGAGCUUCUGGAUUUCUUGGUUUCACACCGGGGGAUACAGGCCAACUCGACAAAAAUAGAAGCCAUCCAGAAGAUGGAGGCCCCCCGCAAGGUGAAAGAUGUCCAACGCCUCAACGGCUGUGUUGCCGCGCUGGGACGUUUCAUCUCCAGGCUGGGUGAGCGUGCCUUGCCUUUCUUCCGGGUAAUGAAGAAGAAGGGUCCAGUCGACUGGACUCCCGAGGCCGAGGCAGCGUUCCAAGAACUCAAGCAGUACCUGAGGUCGUCGCCCAUCCUCGUCGCCCCCAAGCUGGGCGAGCCGCUGCUACUCUACCUAGUGGUGAUUGACCAGGUGGUCAGCUUGGUGCUGAUUGCCAAGAGGGAGGAAGACGUCCCGGGGACUGGGGCCGCGGGGCAGGGGGCGGGGCGGCCCUCGGCAACCGCCUCAGACCCGGGGACCGCCCCCGAGCCGGCAACCUCGGCACUGCGGAAGCGGUUGGUGCAGCACCCGGUGUACUUCGUUAGUACGGUGCUACGCGACGCGCGGACAAGGUACCCGCAAGUACAGAAGCUCCUUCUGGGGAUUCUCCUUGCGUCCCGCAACUGCGCCACUACUUCCAGGCGCACCGCGUCACGGUGGUGUCCGGGUUCUGCCUUGAGCGAGCCCUCACCAACCGUGAAGCCACCGGGAGGGUGGCCGAAUGGAGGAUGGAGUUGUCGGAGUUCGACCUCCACUUCGCCAACUCUAAAAGCAUUAAGAGCACGGCCCUGGCGGACUUCGUCGCGGAAUGGACGUCCACGGGCGUGGAAGAAAGUGAGCCGGAGACCAGCCUUCCCGGCAAGUUGGACGAGGGCCACUAGGUCCUCUACUUCGACGGUGCAUUCAGUCUUCAGGGAGCGGGCGCCGGGGUCGUCAUCGAGUUACCAACAGGGGACCAGUUGAGGUUCGCUGUUCAACUCGACUUCGCCAACUCCACCAACAACACGGCGGAGUACGAGGGCCUGUUUGCGGGGUUGCGGGCAGCGGUCGCCCUCGACAUUAAGCGCCUGGUUGUUUGUGGCGAUUCCCAGCUCGUAAAUAACCAGGUGAACAAGGACUACGAUUGCAAGCUGGAACGAAAGUUCAAAGGUUUGCGCUUUGAGCACGUCAAGCGGAAGGAUAACUUCGCUGCUUACGAGCUGGUCAAGAUGGCAGAAGAG